CCUCUGCCUCUGCCUCUGCCUCUGCCUCUGCCUCUGCCUCUGCCUCUGCCUCUGCCUCUGCCUCUGCCUCCUAAAUAGGAGGAUUAAAAGUAUACACCACCAUAUUAGGAAGGUUUAGGCUUUCUUAACAAGAUUUAAAAACAUGUUUCGUUUUCCUCAAUGUAGCUACUUCAAGAUAGUGAACUCAUAGGUCUUAGUGAAGAACCUACAACCACCAUGUAACAAAACUAUGAUAUUCUCUAACUAUAUUUUAAAUAAUUGUCCCUUUAUGCACAGAUAAAGUUCUUCUCAUCCUCAUUACGGAAACUUCAUUGUACAUAAGGUAGAGACCAUUACACAAGACCACAGUAGAUCAAUAUGUAGAGUUGUGGGGCUUAGUCCCAAAUGAUGCAUCUACAACUCACCUCUUGUCUUAAGGCUCAUGUGGAAGAGGACCCAGACACAGACUGUAAGCACCGGAGAAACAGAGAGUUUGCUAUGUGAUGCUAUCUUCUGAAAAUGUCAGAGUGCCUACUACAUUCAUUUAUUUUAAGGAGUUAUUUGUUUUAUUUGAAUGAAUGUUUUGCAUGCAUGCGCAUAAGUAUACCCCAUGCCUUGAGGCCAUGGACGCCAAAAGAUGGCAUCUGAUGCCCUGAAAAUGGAAUUGUGUCUAGUUGUGAGCCAUCCUGUGGGCUCUGGGAGAUGAACCAAGCUUCUUUGCAAGAACAGGUGCUCACUGAACUCUCUCUCCAGCCCUUAUUCAUCUCCUUAUUUGUUUCAAUUAUUUUUUCAUUUUUAGAGAUUACAGUAUAAUUAUAUCAUUUCUCCCUUGCAUUUCCUUCUAUCCCACUUUUUCAUAUUAGAUACUAUUAUUGUACAUAGAGAUAUAUAAUACAUAGAGAUACAAUUCAGUAUCUUUGAGGCCAGUUUAUUUUGAAAGCUAGCAUUACUCCUACUCAAUUGGCAGCUAUCAUUAGCAAUAGCUGUUUAUAGUAUGAACAAGCUAUAGGCACAUAGCCCACUUCUGUACAAUAACAUUGCAACUGUGGGCCUCUGCACGCUGAAAUAGUUCAGAUACACAACUCAUUGAAGGCCAUUGAUAAAUUUUGCCAUAUUACACAUGAAUGCCAGUCCUUGAUUACUGAGCAUGCCCACCUCUACACUGCUGUCAUGUCGGAGAGAAAAAUAACUUUCCCAGGAAUGAUGGUUGGCUUCCCUUUCUUCAUCCCGUUGUGCAUUUCAAGUUAGACAUCCAACAUGAAAUGACAUCGUAAUUUUAAAUGAUAGCACAUCUUCUUUUGUGUUCUCACUUGGGCAAUUCAAAGGCCUGGAAAUGACCACACUGAGAGCAGGAUAUUGAGUACUUAAAAAUAAGUAUAAACACACAGGAAAGAGUGUUAGUGGUCAAGGUCUCCCCCCGUAAGGAUUUGGAUUUGGUUCCCAGCACCCACAUUGUAGUUCUCAAGUGCACAUUAUGCCAGCUUCAGGGAGUUCAGACUGUCUUUCUGAUCUCUGUGGACACUGUACACAUAUAUUGAUCCAACACAUACACGCAAAUAAAACAUUUUUAAAAGAAUAACUAAUAUGAACAAGUUGUUUUCUGAGGUGCAUACCAUUAAUAUAAUAGCAAUCAUUGAAACCAAGUAUCUUACAUUUAUCAUUGCUAAAUAUUACACUUGAGUUUCUAGUUUAGCCGAAAUAUUCAUUAUUAUAUAGUAGAAAUCAGGGAUAGACUUAGGUCAUUGUCAUCAAGCCUCUGAGACUAAUUUGAUGGCUUAACUAUCAAUAUUCUUGGUGAAGGUAUAAUCUAUUGCCAAUACUUUCAUAUUUAACAUUUAAAAGUAUUUCUUUUUAAUAAAAAUCAUUGAUGUUACUUUAGUCUAACAUAGAUUUUAAGUAUUUAGUUUUCUUUAAGAAUACAUGGAAGUUCCCAUAUGGUUAAGACAUAAAUGUAUUUCUGAUUAAUUUCAAAUAUGUGUUUGUUGUCCCGUGACAUCAUUAUAAGUCAUUGUCCCAUUAAUGGUAUAAGGAAAAGGUCCUAUUGCUUCAAGGACAGUGGGGUUGCAAUUAUCCACUAAGAUUUUUAGGUUAUUUAUAAUUUGUAACUGUCCUCUGGUUUUUGGCUGAUAAUUACAUAUUUCUAUGAUGUUGAAACAAGUCUUCAUCCUUCCAAAGAAAACCCAAGACAAUGACCAAGUCAGUAAGUUCCCAGUACACAUUGGAGACAUGUCAAAAUCUACUUAACUAUCAUAAACAAACAGAGCACGAUUUUCCCUUGAAUAAACAGGGGCCAGUGAACAGCAGGACAUUUGGAAGCAAACUUACAUAUUCUAGGGCUCUGAGUUAAUAUCAUUUUCAAGGAUUAUUCUCAUGUAUUCAGCUAGAAUGGAAACAUAAAUGGAGUCUGAUUCUUUGCUGGAGGAAAUGAUUUUCUGAAAGGAAGCUGGUGUUGAGAACUCCUUUAAUUACUUCUUUCAUAACUAUUUGUUUCUUAGACACCAAAUAAGUACAAUUUUAACAGCAGGUGUCCUUUUUAAUAAAAGAAAAAAAAUGUAUGAAACCCUUUAAUCUUAGUAUACUGCUGUAUAUGAGAACCACUUCUUUAAAAUUAUUAUGUAGGAUAUUCAUUGGUACUUGGAUUAGUGUUUUCGAAACUGGAGCUGAUUUUCUCUUGUGGGGGUUAUUACGAGAGCUGAGACAUUGUUGCCGAAUGUUUUAGGAUAUUUAUUGUGUACUGACCAUGAGAAUGAUUAAACCUGUUGGAAAGGUAAUUUCACCCCAUAGAUUGUUCAGUCUGGAAACCACUUGAUGUUCGAGUUUCAACUCAGGAAGCUUUCUUGUCUCAGUAGUGAAUUUAGACUGCUUUCGGUUCUACUGGAUAGGUUUAGUUCUCUGGAAACCAGGUAAGGAGACCGACAUGGAAACCUGCCUGAAUGUAAGCAGCCAAUGAAGCGCGGCAUGACAUCCUCAUCUGUAAGUCAUUCUGAACAACAGCAGUCUAACUCUGUUAGCAUUGCAUCAACACCCCCAGAGUUUACAAACAAGUUGUUCUGUGCUGAUGCUGGCCGGAGGCAAGCCCAGCUACUGGAUGUAGUCAUCCUUACCCAGAAUGCUUGCUGGAGCUUCUGCAGGCACAAUGUAGGGAAGAUGAUUUGUAGUGAUGCCAACUGGGAUUAACACUGGGAUACAAUGGCUGCUGUCUCAGAUAAACUGACCUAUGCUCAUGUUGCAAUAGUAUGAAAUGACCACCAGGGGCACACUAGCACUCCAAGGAGAACCAAUAGUGUAGACAACAUUCCAGUGUCUAAACAAACAUAUACUCCAACUUACUUUAUUAGUGCCUCAGAGAUAGAUGACACUGUUGAAAUAAUCUUUGAAAUCCCUCUAAAGACAACCAAUCUCUGGUAUGCUGGACUUUUUCAGGGAGAGAGAAAUUCAAAACCAUUCUAUAGCUGGCUACACAAAGGCAAUGAGAAAGGGGGGAUUUUCUUUGCAGUACUACAGCUUAAGCUACUGACGGAACAAAUCACAAAGAAUUGUUUGCCUGGAGGCUAGCUGAACCAAAUGCCAUCUCUACUUUGAAGGAUAGACUGUGUAACUAGAAUGAGGCUGUAUCACACUUUUAAAAGGGUGUGCCUGCUUGGAAAGAGGAGUCAAAGCGUGUUACCUGCCAGGAGCCCUUGACAUGUUCUCUUUACUUAUGUAUCUGUCUGUAUCGAUAUGAAUGCCUACAUCACUCUCUACCUAGCAUCUAUAUUUUGUUCUAGAACCUUUUGUAGUCCAAAGAUAGUCUUCAAAAGAGGUUGAGAAUCUGAGAUUUCAACGUCCCUAUUUUAACCUGGAAGAGCUCACUUACACAAAGGUACCAGAAUAAAGAUCUUAGCUGGCAAAUAAAUGUACAGAUCUAGGAUGUUUGCACAAUUCUGGGAAUAGGUAUUCCAAAAAUUUCCUAGGAACGACAUAAAGUCAAUGUUGUAGGCCUAGAAAACACAAGCAAGGGCAAGCAUUGCUUUCUUUCCUUUGCAAUGAGUAGAGAAGCUACAGGAAGGAGAACCAUCCAGGUUCACGAGGAUGGAGAAUCCAUGUUCAUGAGGGUGACAGGCAUGGACUGAGAAGCAGACAUACAACACGGUCUCUGGGAGCAAAGCAAUAAUUCCUUUCCCACGGUGAGUUACACAGAGACAUCAGGGGCCAAGUUCCUCUAGAUUAAUUUAUUUUGGAAACAGAAAGAAACAAGACAUGCAUAGAGGAAGGAAUCUGUGAAGUCAUUCCUGAAAAAUGAAAUUUCUAACCAAGGCAAGAUAAAAGCUGCAUUUUGGAAACAUUGAUAAGUGAAUGUCAAAUCAUACAUUUCUUAUGAGGCAAUUUGGUUACUUUGGCAACGAAGCUAUAACUUCUUGUUUCUGAUGAGCACUGUUCCUUUCAUUUCCACCUGUGGCUUUUGUCACUGUGUCUCCAAGGGAUGCUAAUGCUCAAAUGAAAACUAAUUAACAUUUUAAAGUGUAAAAUAUACACAUUGAUUUAGGGGGUAUGUUUCCUUAAUAUUGCGUUCACUGACACAUAAAAACACAUCCUGCUGAUUUCUUCGCUUCUUUAAAGGGGAGGCCUCUGCGAUGCUUAAUUAAAUUUAGUGUUCUUCUUAUUAUCUUGGUUACAUUUUCCAUUUUCUAGUAAAUAAAGCUGGUGAAAUUUAAGCUGGGUACUAGAAACUAGAUUUUGCAUACAAAUUACUCCUUUAGAAAGUAGCCAUGCGAACACAAACAAGCACUGUUUUUUUUUUUUUUUUGAAGCAGCAGUUUUGUCAAGAUAUAAUUUACACAAAAUACAAUUUAUCUCUUAAAGCAUACAUCACGUUGAGUAUUAGUAUAUCUUCAUUGCUUCCAAACCACAGUUUCCUUUUCUAGAGCAUUUUGGCACACACUGAAAUCUCAUACCCUUUUCUAGACCCCAGUUGGCACCACUCAGUUUUCUAGGGCCAUGCGUUUGUCUACUGAAUUCCUGGGAAAUGUGCUUUUCCUUCACUCCAUGAUGUGACACCAGCAGAAGUCCACCCAUUUUGUGAUCUAAUAAUAUUCCACCCAGUGUAAUUUUCCCUCUAUUUACAUACAAAGCCAUUAGCAGACCUUUCAGUUGGUUCUGCGUUUUUUGUAAUAAAUAAUGUUAUUUGGAACACGUGUUGCCAAUUCUAUUUGUGAAUAUAUAUUUGAGUUCUCUUGAGUACACAUCUUGGAAUGGAAUUGCUGGAUCACCCAGUGAGUCUGUGUUGAAACUGUGCUGGGAGUAGCUGCCCACAAUCUCACCGAGCAGCCUUGCCCCUUAGUGGGCUACUGGUGCAUGGGAAGCCCCGUGCUCCCGACUGCAGCGAUGGUUGGUCUUGUUUGCUCCUUUGAUUUCACUCACCCAAGGGUUAUAAUGUCCUGUAGUCAGUGGCUCUGACUUUCAAUUCUCUGAUGGUCAACAAUGCUGAAUGUCUUCACAAGGACCUAGUGGUCACUUGUGCAGCAUCUUCAGAAAAGUGCACGUUUAGUUAAUUUGUCUGCAAAUAGUCUUUUAUCUUGCCCAUUCUCUCUUCAUUUUCUAGAUAGUUUCUUUUGAUUUUGUUUUUAGUUUUAGUGAUUUUGGUGUAAUUUUCAUUUAUUUUUUAAAUAUAUACUUUUGAUAUUUCAUAUGACUCUUCCCAAGUUCAGAACAAUGAGUGGUUUAGUCUUGUUUUUUUUGUUUGUUUGUUUGUUUGUUUUUUGUUUUUUUUUCCCUAAGAAUUUUAUUCCGUUAGUCUUCACACUUGCUUCUGUUGAGGUCACAUUGGCAUUUCUGAUGAUUCUGGUCUCUUGCUCCAUCCUCCUGUCUAUAGAUAAAAUAUAAAUAUUAUAGUCUCACUUCUUUAAAACAGUUUGGCACUGGGAGCAGAAAAGGUAGGAAUUAUUUUAUUUCUAGACUUUCAGUUUUCCUCCAUUAUUGUCUUUGUCUGUCUUCAUGUCAGAAGCUUAUUGUCUUGGCUCCUGUGGUGUAAUAGCAAGCCUUGAAGUAGCACAUGAGGCUCCUGCAGCUUUUCACUUGAAGUAACCGUUCAGGCUCUUGGGUUGCCCUGCGUGUAGUGUGAAGUUUAGAUUCCACUUCUCAGUUUGUAAGGAAUUGCUCUUGAUCUAGGGCCAAUGUAGAGUGCUAACACCGUCCUUUUAGUUUGUGACAUCACUUAUUGAAGAUUUCACUUCUUGUAGUUAGGCUUUGCAGCUUCCGGUGUGUAAGUCUUGUAUUUCUCAUUAUUUUUAUCCCUAAGCAGUUCAUUCCUAACUGCGUUUUUACACAUUCCCUUUCAGCGCACAGAAAUAACAUUCUUUUCAUGUGAUGUUUUUAUCAUCUACAACUUUGCUGAAGUCCCUUAUUACUUCUAUGUUUAAUAGUUCCCCAAGUUUCUCUCUAUCCACACGAUAGUAGUCUUAUCAUAGAGACAUCUUCAUUCCCUUCCAAUCUGAGUGCCUUUUCUUUCCUUCCCUUGCCUAAUUGCUGUUCUGAUAGUGUGAUAUUUUAAAAGGAUUAAUUCACCUAAGGUAAGAUGGAGACUAAUUGGUUGUAUUCUCCUAAAGUUAGCUUUAAGCUUUGUUCAAAGAAAAUUCUAAAAUCAAACACUGAAAUUUACAUGAAUUAGAUGAAAGUUAAAGUCUCUCUUGAGAAGGUGAAGCUUGGAAGUGUUUAAGGUCCUGUGCAUGGUUGUCCACUUCAGCUAUAGAUAUCUGAACCUGGGCCACAGCAGCAAUCACUGCUCUACGCUCUGAUCUUUUGGGUAUUUUCUUCUAAAACAUGCAUUCUUAAAGUUCUAUUAAUAGGGGUGAAGUUCAUUGAAGUACAAACUCGUGCAUAAAACCAUACAAUAAAUAUUUCAUGUCACCUGUGGUUUUUGUUUCUGUUUAUUCUUGCAGGUUUGUUUUAUAUUUCUAGGCAAGUGCAUUCUUAGCCAUUCAUUUGACCUGUAUACCAAGAAGAGAAGUUUCCUCUUAUCUGUCAUUUUUGUCAUUUUAUUUUUUUGGUGCUAGUUUUCUGUGAGGAGCCACUUGACUUUGUGGUACCCAUGACUUAGUAAUUGGCACUGGGAAGGUCAGAGAGUCUGAUGUUUGCUACAAUGUAUUGGAAAAAUAUCCUAAAUAAACUAAGCCAAGCACACACACACACACACACACACACACACACACAAUCUAUGGGAAUAGGUAAUUAAACAUACAAUUUACAUAGAAAUUCUAGAAAUAAACAAUUUGUUCAUGUUACCCUAUCCGUUGUUCUAAGUAGGGUGAUGAAUAUGCAUUGAGCACCCCUAAAACAAUCAGCCAGGGCCUGAGUCAUGACAUCAGUACUGUCUCCAAAGGUUCUGUCCUAGCCCACACUCAUCACCAGAACCUUAGGAACAGUUUUCUUCUGUUAUCAAAUGACUGUCUAGGAUGUGUUUAUAUGUGUCAGGGAACGCAAUAUUAAGGAAACAAAUAUACCCCCUAAAUCAAUGUGUAUAUUUUACACUUUAAAAUGUUAAUUAGUUUUCAUUUGAGCAUUAGUGUCCCUUGGAGACACAGUGACAAAAGCCACAGCUGGAAAUGAAAGAAACAGUGCUCAUCAGAAACAAGAAGGUAUAGCUUUGUUGCCAAAGUAACCAAAUUGUCUCAUAAGAAAUGCAUGAUUUGACAUCCACUUAUCAAUGUUUCCAACAGCAAUGAUUCUUAUUUAUCCAAUGUCAAGGAAAAAAAAGAGCUUUUAAAAUUCCAAGAUAUACUCAUUAAGUUAUUUUUUUUAAACAUUCUGUGUUUUUGGUCUUUAAGGAUUUCUGCUUGAAUUCGAAAGUUCAGGGCUUUAGAGUAAAAAUUUCAUAGACCUCAGAUAUAACUAGCAGCUUAAACUUGGCUCAGGACUGUACAGUGAGCCUUGGGCAGCACAGAGAGUGUGGCAUGUCAAAACAUGGAUGUGCUUGCAAAUAUUACAUAAGUGAAAUAAUCCCAGGACAUACAGAAAACAUGCGAUUCUGUUUGAUAGGUUAAGUACAUGCUUAAGGAGAUGUGACUAAGUGCCAAAACUGUACUUACUAGGGUAAGGAGAAGUCAGAGGGAUUGGGCAGAUGCGGUGAAAAGGCAAACAGUUGUAACUAUUUAAGGUGCACAUGUCUACAGGCCUAAAGUGUACGAUGAGCACUGUAAUUAAUAACCAUAUUUUGCUUAGGAAUCAGCUGGGCCGAGUCCAUCUGCCCUUACUGGGGAAAUAUGAGAACUGUUGAUAUGGAGGUGUGUCAAUGGUUUUACUGUAUCCAUUUUAUUAUAUGCACAAAUUAUGGCAUAAGCCUUAAUUAUAUACAAUAAAUUUUCUUAAAAUAAGCCCAUAGCUUAGACUUAGCAACUGUAGGAGGCAUAGGCAUUCCUUCUAACAGUCACUUGUAUUUUUAGACUUGACACUUCAUUUACCAGCAGAAGUUGUUUGAAUAUUAAAAUACUGAUAAUGAGGAUACUGAAUAUUCAAUUAAUUGUAAUGUUCAUUCUUACAUCAUCAAAGAAGUUAAGACAAUUAUUUAGUUGUAUUUGUCAUUAUCAAAUCUCAGAGUCUUCCUGCAGUUCAUCUAUUAAAUCAUUGCAUUGACUCUGCCCACUUUGAGAUGUAAAAUGUCAUCUCUGCUGUGUUGUGGGCUGGUCAAUAUCACUAAAUUAGAGGUGUGCUAGACUAGGAAAAGGACUAAUUUGUUAGAUUGAUAUGUUGUGGAAAGAAAUUACUCAUAAGUAGUAUAUAGAAAUCACCAUACUCAAUAGAUAUGGCAGAUCACUUGGGAGGCUGAAGUAGUGAAAUUCUUGAGCUCACGGCCAUCCUGGGCUAUGCACUGAGAUUCUGUCUCACGUGGUCCCAAAACAUAACCAAUGAGAAGCAAACAAACAAUGAAACAAAUGAAUAGAACUUGUAAUUUUUAUUUAAAUCUGAGAAUUUCCAUCCAUCUACCUAUCCACCCAUGUAGUCAUCAGUCUAUCCACACAAUCUUUCCAUCUAUCCAAUAUUAUUUAAGAGACCUUUAACAAUAUAAUCCUAAUAUCCAUGCAGGUUUUAUGCUAUAUUGCUGUGCUUACACUUUGAAAUUAAACUUAUUCCUUGUUUUGUUAGUUAAGAUUUGAAUUGAUAGAGCAAUGAAUAAGGGCACGACUAUAAUGUCUGGUCUUGUUCGGUUUUAAUUACUACUGGAGAGUAAGAAUGUAGCUGUGAGUGACACCUCAUUUGUCAGUAGUACCUACACCAUGGUGUCAGCCCUUGAGGAUUGUUUUCAUCACCAUGGUGUCUACAAUCAAAACCAAACAUGUCUCUUCCCUGUAAUGCUAAAGCCAAAUCUUUUCCAGUUAAAUGGGUUCCAUUGCGUAGCCUGCACAUGACUACCAUAAGGCUUGCCUGUGUAGAAAAACAAAAAUUGCUCUACGAGAUACAAGUUUUACAAUUGGUUUAUUCCACUGAAAUUUUUCUAGCCGAGGUUCACGUAGGCAAUAAGUCCUAACCCAAUCCCCAAUUCAGAUGGAAGUUUUGGCCUGAAGUAAAAUGUUUCAAGGUGAUUAUGCACUUGGGAUUCAGCAAUUUGUUCAGUGUCAGCUAUCUAUUGAUUGCCUGUGUACAUGUAUAUGUGUGCAUAUGUUAGUAAGUUUGUGUGAGUGGGCAUGUGUGUUCACGUGUGGGCAUGUGCUUAUGCGUGUGUCUGCAAGUGUGUGUGAAAGAGCUAAGAGACAACCUUGGGUGUUGGUCAGACCUCUACCUAUACUGUUUUGAAAGAUGGGCUUUCUCACUGUCCUGGAGCCCAUUGAGUGGGGUGAGUUAUCUGACCCUUUAAUCCCGGGGAUACUUGUCCCUAUCUCUCACUGAUGUAAUAUCAAGUAGGACACUGCAUGCGAGUUUCUUUUUCUUUCCGUUGUUUGUUGGUUGGUUUGUUUGAUCUGAGGAUCAAAUUCAGGCUUCAUGGUUGGAAAGCCAGUGCAUUUGUCUGUGAGCCAUCUCUCCAGCUCAUUUUUUACACAUACUGAUCAUUUAGUAUUUUCUCUACAAGAGUCUCAUCUUUGUAUCCUCAGAAAUCUUUUAGUAAUAGAUGAUUUUAACCAGCUCUUAUCACUCAGAUGGUGAAGUGGGUGGGUCCUAUGAAUCUACAGUUGAAGCUGAGAUGUCUUAAGGGGGAUGUGCCUCAUUUUCCAUAAUUGCAGCUAAAGAAAUGUUGGGUUAGGGGCUAAAUUUUAUAUAUAUAUAUAUAUUCUCACUUUCCUUUGCACAAAUUCAGAUUUUUGCUUCGAAUAUUCAGUAUGUCCCCAAAUAUCACUGAGACUAUCCCUCCUUUGUAAGCUUUUAUCACUAGCAUCCUUUUGCCAUUAUUUCACUUGUAAAAUAAUACUAGAAUAGUUUGUCUUAAAAACAAUAUCCAACCGGAAUUAAUCUUGCUUAACCUCUUGUUAUAUCUUUAAUGAAAUUUAGAUGUAAGUAAUUUAAAUGUAUAUUUUUGGGAGGCGGGUAAUUGCCAGAUAACUCAAAAUUCUUUAAUAUCAUCAAAUCUGUGUUGGUGAUAAUCAUUAAAAUGAGACAAACAUUUAAGCAAUUAGUUUUGUUUAACACACAUGCACUAUGGGAUGUGCUUAAAGAGCCAAUGAAAGUGUAGCUCUUCCUCACUAAGUAAAUCCAUAAAAACACAUAAGAGAAGCAUGUGAUAAAUGCUUUGCUCUUGUCUAGCAAUUGUGAGGAAGUGUGAGAAAGUGACACUUAAACGUGAGGGUCAGUUGAUUGCCUGCCUCACUGUAAAGCCGUGGGUCCAUGCAGUAACACAAGCAGGGGUCCUUGGCCUAUGUGCAGCUAGUGAGUGCGUUCAACAGGAGAAGCUUUCUAAACGCCUUGAUAGUGAGUGUACAUUGGCUCAGCCACAUGGCUCAGCAGGUAGAAGUGCUUGGCACUAAGCCUAACAUCUGAUUUGGACGUUAUUUUUAAGAAGCCUCGGUGGAUUUGUAGGACUUGUAUUUUUCUAACUCUGACUUUUGGAAGACUGUAAUAGAUUAUACAUGAUCUACAACCAACGAUGUGUAAAUAAAAGUUCGCACCCACUAGCUCAAAGGGCUUUGACUAUUCGUACUUUUACAUUCGUUGGUUCUACCCAAAACAGUAAAUACAAUGAGUGUUGUCUCCUCCAUGGGCUGCUUGGCUGCUCUCUUUAAAGAUCUGUUAUCUUCAUAGCAUGAGGCCGUACCACACAGUGGAGCGCAGCCUCGUGUAAUCUGAGAAGCUUAUGAUAACCAGCUUUACAGUCUCUGACACGGGCAGUGCUGAAUGGUUUCAUCUCUGAAGUGGAAAUGAUAUCAAUAUUUACUGAAAAGUUGACAUGCAAGACUUUGAGUACUGUCUGCCUCUAAGGUUACUUUUGUCCCCUGGCAAUCAGGAUUGGUUCUUGAUUGCCUGCCUCACUGGAACCCAGUGCUCCUGUGAUAACAAAAAGAAGUUCUUCCCAAGACUCUUGGCUUUUAGUUUGGUAUAAUAUUUUGUUAUUAACUUGCUAAAUUAUUAUUGUCAUUGUCUGAGAGGAGAUGUAAAAGAAGUCACCCUCAGUAAAAGGAGAAAGAUAGGGGCGAUGAUGAGAGAGCUGCUCAAAGCCAGUGUGGCAUGUCCUUGGUGUUUUCAAAUGGUGGAAGCCCUUCAGGACAUUUGACAUGGAGAUGGUUAGUUAGAGCCAUGGGAACUUGAUCCAGAUGUUUUUGUCUUUCCUACACAAAGCCCUUUGGUGCCUUUCUUGGAAGAUAGCACUUUGAAUCAUCACAGUCCUUUUAUUACAACACAAGUAAGGAAGGCCUACUUGUACCUCCUUUCUUUGUAGGAAACAAUGCUAAUAUAUAGACUGCAUGUGUCCUGAAAGACACAGUGAUAAUCAUUCAAAUACCUUAACAAAACAAAAUUUGUUUUAAUUAAUUUGAAAAUUGAAAGUACCUUAUUGAGGAUUUUAAAGGCAAAUAAUUUUAUGGAUAUAGCUUGGUCCUUUUUUUUUCAGAAAUUAACAGAGAGUGAGUUAUAUCAUCUGUCUUUAUUUUACCCAAAUAACAAAGCUUUUGCAUAUGUAUGUAUUUGUAUAUGUAUUGUGUAUGGUGUUUUCCUUUAUCCGUGUUUUCAACACUACUGUCCUUUCUUAACAAAACUUAGCUAGACUCCUCAUUGCUUUUAAAUGCUGGCCUUUGUGUGAAAUGCUGCUUUGUAGACACAGACAACCUUUUAUUGUUGUGAGUCAAGAGAUACUGGAGCCAGCCUGUCUGACUAUACCAAUUAUAAGCUCUGUGACCUUGGGGAACUUACUUAACUACUCUGUGUUUUGACAUCUUUGUCUAUAAAACCUUGUGGUGAUUCUAAUACUAAUUUAUAUUGUUAUUAUGAUGAUUUAUAAUUCUAAUACCUAUACUGCUCUUAAAUGUGCCUUAUUCUAUGGAUUGUAUCUGAUAGAUAAAAGUGAGAGGCAGUGUGACUCUUGAGUAGGAGACUUUGUAUUUGUCAGCUUUAGCUCCUGCUCUGAGCCCUGCGAUGAAGUCCAGGAUUCCCAACACCCAUCUCAGCUAGGUUUCCCUUCCUUGCGUAUCUGUUCUGUGACCGAGAGAAAGCAGCAGGCGAUUGUGGUAUGAUGUCAGGUCGCUGCCCCAACAUGAGUCCCCAUGGUUGACUCUGUCUCUCUCUUUUAUGAGUAAAAUAUUACAACAACCCAAACCUCAGUUUCUGAGAUGGGUUGGAAGUGUAAUGUUUCACUCCUCAUAUUGGAUGGGAUAGUAGCCUGCAGCCUGGACAUUCAUAUUGUGUUCUGACUGCUCACGAGAAAGCUCAAGCCAUGCCAUUCUCUUUAUCAUUAUGUGAUGAGAGUUGUCAGCCCUCUUUAUGAACAGCACAUUCAUAGCUCAGGGAGCAGCCAGGGGCAGAUCAUAAACUAAAGGAUUAGAGAGCAAAGAUAUUAGUGAAACAGAGGCCUCAGCAAUUCUCACUGUAUUUAACGCAGAGACGAUGAGGUCUGCCUGGGGAGCUAAUACUGCUUAACUGUGUUUGGGCAAGAAGCCAAAAGGAAAUUGUAUUUCAAAGAGAGAAAGUCUGGCACCCCAUAUGUUGGGUAAUCUUGGUCAGCUAACAGGGAUAUAUGGCCAUUUUACACUGAAGAUAAAGGGGUAGAAAUAAACUUUUAUGUUAAAGAAUACAAUGUUGAUACAGUCUGGAGCUGAAGGGCAAUUGAUACAGUAUCGGGUCCUUACAUAAUUGGAGCUAACAUUGAUGAGGAAGCAAAGUGGACAUCUUUCACUACAGAUGACAUCCCAUGUGCAAUUAAUACACUCUCUCUAUUGUCUGAGCUCAAGCCACAGUAAUGAUGCCUAUGACAAAUGGGUGAGUCCAGAGGUCACUACAGACUUCACCAUAACAUUGCAAAGAGCCUGGGCUGUCUUGAUUCCAGGGAAUUCCAGCUAUACAUCAAGACUCAGGUUUAUUUAUGUACACGUCGAGCCAUGUCUAUAUGAGUGUGUGCUGUGAGUUAUAGAUAGUUGUGAUUUGCCUUACUUAGGGGCUGUGGGUUGUACUCUAGGCUUUUGGAUGAGAAGGCGGCACUGUUGGGUGCUGAGCCAACACUUCAUUCAUCGGUGAUCCAUGAAAAGACUUCCACCUAAAGAAGGCAACUCAGGGGGAGAGGCAGGUAAACCUGUUCUCAGAAGUGUGCUGUUUUUUGCUGUGUGAAAAUUAUAGCAAUGUUAUUGGCAAUCAACUUCGGGGCACUUGUACCUGCAUAAAAAAUUAUUUAAAAGUGGUGGCCUCUAGCUGGAUGGUGGUGGUGCAUACCUUUAGUCUUAAUGCUAAGGAAAAGUAGGCAGGCAGAUCUCUAAAUUCAAAGGUAGCCUGGUCUAUAUAAAGCGUUCCAAGGACAGACUGCCAUUCACAAAGAAAGCUCGUCUCAAACAAACAACUAAGUUUACCUUUUCUUUCCUGUACCCCAAUAAAAUAACUAGAGACAUAAAAGGCGAAUGAAUGUCAUGCCUAGGAUUGGGCAAGGAUGUAACUUCUGACCCUCUAUUAGUUGAAGGAUGUUGUUUCUUUCUGUGUCAUUGUGCCUAGGAAGCUCACUGUGAAACCUAUUCAGGAAUGACUCCAGACUGUACAGCUCUAGCUUUCAUUCGAGUUUUCGAACUACAUAUUGCUAGAGACUUCCAUGCACUGGUGCAGAGUGGUCAGUAGCUACAUUGAGGGUACAGUGUGUUCUUUCUUACUUAGUCCAACAUCUAUGUGUAACACUUAAGACCAUAUCCACAUGACCUCUUGGUUUUAAGAUAAAUCUUUUAUUAAUAAACUUGAUUAAUUAGAAAAUCAAAUUUAUAAGAAAAGGGAAAAAGAGUUCAUAAGGACUAAUACAGGCUUUCAGUUAUUUAGACACUGGUCGUCGGUGACCUCAAGACAGGAAUAUCAGUAGUAGUGUUAUGAUAUAUACCCUAGUGUAUAGUGAUAGGACCUCUCAUGGGGUUGGGCAUAGUUUUGUUUAGGCAAGAACAGGAAUGUACACGUGAAUGAUGCUCUAGCUCUUGUUUGGAAACAUAAUAGAUUCAUGGGGAUUCCUGACAUUGAUCUAUUGCAAGAUAGCAUUCAGAUUUAGCUUUUACAACUUCCUUUAAAAGACAUGUGCAUGUUAUUUAUUGUUCAUGGUUCUUUCUGGCUUUGGUCAUGUUUAAGUAGCAUGACCAUUAUUUGGCUUCCUUUUCUUAAGCAGCUAAUGUGUCCUCGCUGAGCUCCCGGUGUGGGGAUGUGCCAUACCAUUCACAUUUCAAGGCAUGCACAAGGAUGGCACUUGUGUGUGCUCUUGCUGUUAUUGUCUUAACUUUCCCUUGUCCUGAAAAGCCUCCCUCUCUUCAGGACCCUGUUUCUGGUGAGAUCUGGCAGUGGCAUGCUUUACAUCAUGAUGUGUAGAGAUAGGACCUACCAUAGGGCUUGGAAUGGCUUUGUCCACGCUGACUGCAGAGCGUUUCCUCAGCAGAGACUCAAUAGACCUCCCUGCACACCUGCUUCAAAACUGCUGCUCUUGGGUUUCGCAAUGUGGGCUUUUUCUUGGAAUCCUGUGUACUACUGCCCACCAGGAGUGCAUGACAAUAGUUACCCCUGAGUCCUCACACUGGGGAUCACUGAAAGGUGCUGGGAGGAAGGACCCAAAUCAAGGAGCCCAGGGUGCUAGACAGCAAUCUGAGAUGUAAGUGAUUUACUGGAUCCAGUGGCUGGACUUGGGAAGAACUCAGUGAAGAAUAAGAGCAUGAGGUUCACAGAGUUAGUAGAGAUUUGGAUGUUAUGCUGUUUGAGUUAUUAAUUUAUUCUCUAGGCGUCCAUCAUUCAGAAUAGCCAUUCAUUGAUCAGCAGUCAGGGUCAGCAAGAGAGGCGGGGCCAGCAAUGAGGAACACUUCCAUAGAGUAGUGAGGAAAUUCAUUUUCUAUGAAAGCUUACAAGCCAUAAAGGGAAAUUUGCAUCUCAUCUGACAUUCCACCAGCUUGCAACUUGUCUACAUCCUGGGAACACUUCUUCAGUGUUCACUUGUGUUUACUUGGAAUUAAAUGUGAAUUAGUCAGUGCAUGCUAGGAAUAUGUUUUAAAGUUUCUUGUUAAUAUCACUGUUUAAACAUUUUUUUUUCUGUAAUGAAAAUCUUAUUCUUAGGGUUAAACCAGUCUCAUGUACUCAUCUUUUAAAGAACAUAGAAAGUGUUAUGGUUAAAAAUAGGCAACAAACCCUAAGGGCAUUGAAUUUGCAAUGGCAGUUCUUACCUGAUUCUCCAAAAACACGGCCCAAUCUCCCUAGACUGGGAAAUCUCCUAGAAAAUAUCACAUUUAGAAGACUAAGCCACAUGCACGUGUGAGAAAUGACACCUGAAGAUAACAAAGACCUCACUCUAAAUCUCCGUGCCUCCUCUGGUUAGCCAGAACCUUCUGUUAUUUUAGACACAGUUCCUGUAUAUUGUGAGUGAUGUUAGUGUCCUGGGCUCAGUCAGGACCGUGUUGUACAUACUUCUAAAUUUUGCACAUGUAGCGCAGAAAUCAGAGGAAACAAGAUGAAGGCCAUUGUGUUGUUUAAUUAGAGGAUGGUGAGUUUUGACACCAUAGAAGCUAUUUCUAAAGCACUUAAAUCCCAAAGUUCUAGUCAACAAUUUGAUCAGAUUUUUUAGCAGAGAAAAGGCAAAAUGAAAAACAGUCAGCUCUGUGAGCUAUACCCAUUAGAGCUCCUCUUUCCUUGAAUGUCAGUGUCUUAGGGUUUUACUGCUGCGAACAGACACCAUGACCAAGGCAACUCUUAUAAGAACAUUUAAUUGGGGCUGGCUUACAGGUUAAGAGGUUCAGUCCAUUAUCAUCAAGGCAGGAACAUGGCAGCAUCCUUCAGGCAUGGUGCAAGAGGAGCUGUGGGCUCUACAUCUUCAUCUGAAGGUUGCUAGCAGAAGACUAGCUUCCAGGCAGCUAGGAUGAGAGUCUUAAAGCCCACACCCACAGUACCAUGCCAACUCCAAAAAGGCCACAUCUUCUGGAACAGGGACACAUCUUCUAAUAGUGCCACUUCCUGGACAUAGAAUACACAAACCAUGACUGGUGGGGAAUCAGGAUGAGAGCAUCUGCUCUUAUCCGAAGGCACUGGAGUUGAAGGCCCUGAUAUAUUGAACAGAAACUCCUUGUCUGACUUUCCUCAUUAAGUGUCUCCUGAAUUUUCAAAAUGUUGACAUGAACAUAAAAGUGAAUGACACUUGGUAUUUUGUUUAAAUUUUGCAGUCUUCAUCCAUGUGGACACGUGUGUGUUGGACCUGAAAACUGAGAUAGCGCCUCCCAAAGAUGACAUAGAAUGAUGCAUUAGGAAAGAAGUAACUUAAAGAGAAGAGGUCAAACACAUGCUGACUAGUUGAUACACAAAAGGUUGGACCUCAGCAAAAUUGUGAGGCAGAGAGCAACUUGUUUUCAGGGAUGCUGGCGUUAAACCGCUGAGCAACAUCCUUAACUCCAAAGACACUUUUGUAAUCAAUCUAUUGAUUUGCUUCCCUUUAAUGUCGCCAUUUCCUGGUCUUCCUUAGUCCAUCAUGGCAGUUUAUCACGAGUAGGUAUGGGUUUAUGUAUUGUCCCAUUUAGCCCACACUUUUUUAAUGUAAUUCCUGUGAUGGUUGCUGAAUUACAGCACUGGAGUCCAUGUCUGCAAUAUGGCCAGGACAUAGUGCUAUCCUGUUGCUUUUCAGAAUCCAUUUGUAUGUGUGGGUAUGGGAGGACCUUUAAUGUAGAAAUGAGCAAAGGUAUUUGUUAAGGCCAAGAUUGUAACUAUUUUAAGUACUAUGAGCCAUAUUGAAGCAUCCUGUCCAUAUUGAAGACAUGAGAUUUUUAUUUCAUAGAUUUAAAAUGUAAAAAAUUGUAUUUUGCCCCCUAUGCUGUACUAAGCAGGGAUUUUGCCACUGGGUCACAUUACUGAUCCCUGCUUUUAGAAACAUUGUUCCAGGCCUCAAUUAGCUCGCCACUCCAGGCCACUACCAUCUCACAACUGAGUUUUUACAUUUUAAUUUCAAUUUGUAUAUAUAUGUUUUUGUUUUAUGUAUGUAUGCUCACAUGCGUGCCACAGCAUGGGCACAAAGAUCAGAGAACAGCUUGUUGGAAUCAGUUCUUUCCUUCUGUCAUAUGGAGUCCUGAGAAUUGAUUGUCCGUCUUUAGGCUUGAUCUCCUACUCCAUGAACCACUGAAUCAUCUCAGUAUUGUAAUGCCUCCUUUGUAAGGGCCAAGGAGCUAGCUAUGCCUUCUACAUAAAAGUUCAGGAAAGGUGGUAAUUCGGCAAUGGAUGUCUGCAAACAGCUGCAGUGCAGAAGGGCAGGACUCACUUCAAGUGGAAAAGCCCAGAGUGUCAGGCAAAGCAGUCAUUGGCUUUUGGCUGGUAUUCAAGGGAGUGAUGCAAAGAAGAGAAAGAGGUCGUUACAGUUUUUAGUUAGAAGCUCAGAGAUGCUGGCAUGCUUCCGAGUGCAUAUGGCAGGAUGUCUAUAAAAAGCUUCAUUGCGGGAGGGGCUUCUGGGAACUGAGCAUGGAUUGUGAUGGUAGGAUAAUCACUCCUCUCACUGCUUAGCGUGUCUUCAGGUGACUCAGCUUUCCUAAGGGUUGGUCCUCACAGGAAGUGACUGACAGGUCCAGCUACAUUGACUCUCAUGCAGGGUUCCAAGGUCACAUAAGUUGGCCAGAGAUAGAACUCAGAUUCUACAGUUUUGACCAAGAGGAAAUAGUUUUUCUUUACAAGGCCUCUUGAAUAUAUCAUCUUUUCCUUUCAUAUAUUUUAAUACCUAAGGAAGGGCAGUUGCGAAGUUUCCUUUUCUGAAGUUUCAGAUCUAUGAGCUGUUUACUUAAUGGAAUGAGUGGGUAGCCUAUAGUUUUGGUCACACCCUCACAUGUAGCUUUCUUUCUUUCUUUUUUGUUUGUUUGUUUUUUUUGCUUUUCGAGACAGGUUUUCUCUGUGCAGCCCUGGCUGUCCUGGAACUCACUUUGUAGACCAGGCUGGCACAUGUAGCUUUCUAAGCAGCUGUGUAAAAUGAAAAGAAAGGCAGUGCGAAACCAGACGAGAAACUUAAGCCCUCAAGCACUCUGGCAUUGCUGGCCACUGGCCAGGACAAAUCCCAGAACAUUUCCAGAUUGUGCCUAAGGAAAAGGUUGCUUUCCAAGUUUCCUCCCUAUACUGCUAGACCAGUCUCUCUCUCCUGCUUUGACUCUCCCAUAUGCUAGGAAGUAAGAUCCAGUGGUACCCGAGGUAGGUGUGAAUGUCUCCUAUAGAUGUUCCUCCAUGCAUAUUCCAUGCCCUGAUUCUAGAGUCUGUCUUUACGUAGACAUGGUAUGUAUUGGGGUGGGGGUAUUUGAGCUGAGAAGACCUAGAAAGAAUUCUAAGUAUAAAUAAUGCAAGCUCUUACCAUUGUAUGAAAAUUAGCCAAUUCAUUGCUGAGAAACUCACUGACUAUAUGAUAUGCAUUGUCUUCUCCGAUAAAGCUUCUGAGAGUUUUUGGCAUGUUUGGCAGAUAGUAGUGACAUUUGCACAUUAGAAUAAUAAAUACAGGAUAUAAUCUCUUAAAAGUUGGAAAGAUACCAUUUUCUAUUUAGCUCCCUUCUGUCUGAUAUAGUGUUAUUCAAGGACAGAAGACUGAUACUUUCCGAACUACCCCAUCCCUGCUCUCCUUUGAAUUCUUAAAAAACAACAAACUUACACAUGCCAUGCAUCUCACCCAGAGUGGUGGUGGCUCAGUCCCAUGCCCAAACACAGAAGCUCUGGUCAAAGGGGUUGCCAUGAGCUGGAGGGAAGUCUGGACUUCAGAGUGCGUUUCAGGCUAGCAUGGCCUAAGAUGUUAAACUUGUCUAGCAAGUCCAAAUAUAACAAAUAAAAUAAUAUGCUUUUUAAUUACGUUAGUCUCUGAGCAAUAUUACUAACUAAAAGAAUGAAUGAAUGAACAAACAAAUCAAUCAAUCAAUCAAUAAAUACAACAUAUAUUAAGGAUUGAACGAACACUAAAAAUUUCUGAGAGGAAAGAAGAAAGAGGUUAACACAGCAGCAGAAAAUGGCCUCUAAUUUAGUAAUAUAUUAGAAAUGAGAAACAGGAAAUGAUGAAAACAGGAGCUGUCCUUAACUGCAUGUGUUCUGCGGAAUUGUUUUCUCCAUAGUAAAUUGCUUGAAUUGGAGGGUUACUAUACAGAGUGAAUGUUUGAGUUAAGUUCCAUCAUACACAAUGAGGGAUAUGUUUUCAUCAAUUAGAUAAUCAGUGAAGUGAGCAGAGAAAAAUGCAGGGAUGUAGAAUCUGUGCACACGAUCGAGCUAAUUGAGACUCUGUGGGCACAAUGGAGCACAGCAACUGACCAUCACCUCACUUGAUCUCGGAAUCCUGUUUAAGCCAUGUCAUCAGAGAACUUAACACUGCCACCACUCUCCACAUUCUCCACAGGGAUUUCCACAUUGGCAGGCUAUAUGUCACAAGGGGAGAAAUAAUGCUUUAGAUAGAGUCUAAUCCAAGGAGUCAGUAAAUAUUUUUUAAGUCUGUUUUCAUGAAAAUAAGCAUGCAAUGAAGAAACUGGGAGGCUAGGCCAGACGGAAAGGGAGACACUAAGGCUAGAGUAUUUUAAAUCACAAGGUAACAUUAUAAAAAUGGUAAAACAUGAUCAGUUCAGUUUUAAUUAGAAGUCUAUUUUUCCUUCCUUCCCUACUGAUGUCUCGUAUAAUUUCGUUCUUCCAUUCAGAAAUCUACCAGAUAAAUAGAUCUAAAACCCUGAUUCCUGAUUGUGAUUCUAAAGGCUCUUGAUAUUGUCACUCUUGAGUGUGUUGUAUAGGAAGGACAUGUAUGAUUUCUUUCUGUACAGCUUAGAUUGGUAAAAGUCAGUUGUCAGAGGUGAUACACUAUGUGGUAGAAUUGGUAUCAAAGGCAAAUAUUGGUCCUGUCCACAUUGAGAUCCAUACUGAACUUGCCAAAUUCUUAUUAGUAGGCUUAUGUAAAAUGUGCCUAAUCACUAGAUCUAAUUAUUUCUUGCCACGGCUCACAGAAAUUAGGUAAUACACUUACUUCUAACACUCCUUCCAAUUUAAACAUGAUUUAUACAAUAAUGUGCUCUAUUUGAAAACAAGUAGAGGUUUUGAAUCACCUGAUGUUAGACUUUACUCUUGUUACCAGCACAAUGUCUGAACACAUGAGUUCUUCAAUUUUGGAUUUUAUAUUGAAAAUGUGUUCAUUUAGCUCAGACCUUUAUCAAGGGAAAACACUUUCAAUUCCACAGAGUCUAUUAGUACCAUCUCUUCUGUGAAGUGAGCCUUGUGCACAUGCAUGCACUCAACAUUUAACACAAGGUAAGCCCUGCUUUGCUAGCACAAUUUUUUUCAUUGUAUAAAAUAUGAAUACCAGAAAUCUUGUCAAUACUAGAAAUUUCUUGGAAGCGAUUUGGUGGUAUUUUUUAUUGUUUUACCAAGUGAGAGUUCCCUACACAACCUGAAAUUAUCCUUAUGUCUUCAUGAAAAUGAUUAAAAGGCCACUGUUGAAGUCCCAAGGUUAAUAAUAGCUAUAUUGGUAUAUAGGUCACCAGGCCACCAGGAACAAGGGCCUGACUUCUAUCUUCAACACUUCAAAACAAAAAUAAAAUAAGUGAUUAUUCAGGAAAGAUGACUGUCUCAAUAUUCUUUUACAUUCAAUCAGUUUGUUGUGUUGGUGUGAAAUCUUCCUUCAUUAUUUCAAAACUAGGUGCCAAUGUGGCUUUUUUCAAUGAUCAAGAUGUACUUGAUUCAUGAAAAGUAGAUAUAUAUUUAUACACACAUAUAAGAUCAUGCUGUUUUUGAUAUCACUUUUCUUAUAUUCUAAUUAAUCCUUAGAAAAAGCAAGACUGGGGGUUAAAGUUUCCUUACUACUCGAGAAUGUCAGUAACUUUUGUAAUAUGUGACAUUUGGACAUGUCUAAGUGUGAAUCUGCUAAGCAUUCCCCUCACACCCUGAAUUUUGUUUCUGAGGCCACUGUAACUUCUUGUUAAUUUAUUCAGUAAUUUAUUCAGUAAGAAAUGGUGAAAUAGACACUUAGAUUUUUCCUUUGCUUAGGAGCACUCAGUCACUUGGGCGCCCACGGUAACUGAUGUACAAGGAAGUUCGGGCGUCUCUGUUCCUUUGUGCCUGUGCUUUAUGUGAAGUUAUAGCUCAAACACUCUCCUAAACCCUUCUUCUUAAGCCACCUUAUUUCCAGGAAGAAAAAACAAAACUCAGAGGACAGAGCUUCUUACCAAAUGGGGACAGUUUUCCAUGAGGGAAGGGCUGCGCCUUCUGUGACUAAUAGAUUAACAAUUUAUCCAAUCAUAUCUCAGUCCAGGCGAGAUCUGAAAUGGUAGUGGGCAGGACCACACCGUGAGGAAGAUCCCUCAAGUAGGAAUGUCCCUUACUCUCUGUUGAAAAGUAGCUCCACUCAGAAUCCUGACCAUGAACAUGGGAUUCCAGAACCCACUGUUCAAUCCUCUGCUCGGAGCGGACUCAGCUGGUAACUCAUCUCUCUGCUCUUCACCCUUCUCUCUCUAACUGGGGAACAAUAAGUAAUUUUCAGAGAUUGCCAUAUCCCCUAUGUUUUUACAUAGCAGUGGUUGAAUUGAUAAUACUUCUGUUAUUGUUGAUAUUCUCAAAAUAAUCCAGAAGUGGAACGGUAUUAGACAAAAUUUAAGAGAAUGGGAUUUUAUUUGUUAGCCUUGAAGAUAGCAGACGUAAACCUCACUAAUUGUUAUGGACUAAGUCCCACCCUCAUGCUUAGUGUAGAGUCCUAGCAGGCCCUCAGUGUUCGCGCUUUCUGCAAUGACUACUUUGUCAGAUUGGCUUUCUUUAUUCAGCUGUCCUUGCUCAAUCAGUUCUACGUGGGGUUUACUUGUCAUAAGUCUGAGUAUCACCAAAUAAAGCUAUCCAUCAGCUGUGUUUAAUACGGAGUACUUAGAAUGUCAGUUAUUUUUGUGUUUGUUUGCUGUCUUUCCCAAGCUGUGUUUCUAUGAUCAAUACUGUAGCUGAGAAAAACCAGCCUUUGACUUCACUUCCGAAAAUUAAGUCAGAGUUAAGAAAUUGUUAGAUUGAAUCUAAGGCCAGGGCAAGAGUAUUUCUGAGCUGAGCAGCUUCCCUUUGAGAGCAACAUCCAUGAGGAUACCUUCCCCAAGAGUCCAGCCCCAUGGUACUCUUCCCUUCCCUUGACAGGACUCAUCUCAUUAACUGUGCUGGAUGGCAUUGGCAUUGUUUCCCCCUUAGCUAAAGUAUGUGUUGCUCAUUUCAUUAAACUCAGUAGAGUAUAUGGAUGGAGCCUCUUGCGCCCUUGUGACACCUCAUAACUACUUUGGACUUAAUGCUUCCUUUCAUUGCUGCGAAGUGUCAGAGUAAUACAGAAAAUCCUCUCAUCAUGAAUAUUUUAGAUUUCCUCAUCGUCUUGUGCUGCAGGCACAGAAGAGCUCUUCUGAAACUCUAGGCACACUGACUGACUGGAUCCUGUUCCUUGCGCAUGCUGCUCUGUCAAUAUACAUAUUUCUUUGGUUUUGACUUCGGCAGUUUCAAUUCAUACAUUGAUAUAUUAAAUAUUAGUUUGAUAGGUUUGUUUACCUUAGCCACAUUUCUCUAACUCCUCCCUCACUUCUGUGUAAUUAAUAGUCGUUCUCGUGCUUUUGGCCAUAAUACUAUCUAUCUCACUUAAUUACUUUAAAAAUACUUUUUCAUUUAUGCUUCUUUACACUGUAUUAUAACCUUGUUGGGGAUGAAAUUUGGGUGUCUCUCAUCUUGUAUCUUGAGUCUAUAUGAGUCUAUAUAUUGUCACUGAGUGGGCACACCAUUAUAGUUAGGCAAACCGAUGAAUAUGUGAUUGGCUCCGAAGCUAGAAAAGAUGGAAACAGUAGUAAUAGGCACUCAGCCUUGGUGAGAAAACAUGACAGAAACAGGAACAACCCGAGAGGAAGCGCUGUGCUCCUCCGGCUCGCCACAGCACCCUAGCAUGCUGACCCAGCUUAGUCCUCCAGGCUUCUGUGCACACUGCGGCUUGCCAAUGAUGCAGGAGCAGACAGGGCAUGCUGAAUGCAGCCUCUGCAUUCAACCAUCUUCACAACACACACAUCUGCCCCCUUCAGGAGCUAGCAUGGACUAGCCUGACUAGUUUAACAAAGAGAACAACAGUGUCAUGUGUUUUGUGGCCAUUGUUCACUCCAAAUUUGAUUUCUUUAUUUCAACUGUAUUACCCAUUUGAUAUACAUGCACGUAAAAGCAAUUCCAGGUUUUGUCUGGAAUUUAGAUUACAAACAAACAGCAUACUGAUAUAAGCAAUUUAUACAGAUGAAGUUAAUAUGACUUCAUAGUGGCUGUUACUUCAUAUUAACUGUAGUCUAAGAUGCUGUUGGCCUUAGUUCAAUCCUCAUCUGUGUAGUAGUUAUUUUCUGUACAGUAACUACACAUUCCAUGAGCUUACCAAACUAUUGUUCCUGAGGGGAAAUGCAAGGCUGGGUUCUUGUAAGCCUUGGCCACAGCAUUUCAUCAGUCAAUCCAUAUUUAACGAUGUUUUAUGCAUAUUAACUUAAAGAUGCUUCCUUUGCAAAUAUAUCACUCUGUAUGUAUGCAUACAUGUGCAUCUAUGUAUGUAUACUCAAUAUGCAUCCAGGGGAUGUUCAUUAGCAUGUCACCUACAGCCAGUGGUGGUCACCAUAGCAUUAUAACUCAUCUCUGAAUGACACUUAUGACACUUUCCCUUACAAAAUAUGCGUUUGUGGUGUUGUUCUUAGGAACAUUAGAUGGCACCUUAGCCUUGCAUUUGGGAACCAUUUUAGACAGCAAAAUUACCAACAUAAACCAUGGAAAUGGGGCACAAACUACACUGGAAAGGGGAGACUUGUUUGCAGUCUGAGAGACAAAACAAGACAACAUGGAACUUACCCUCUCUGGGAACCCAACCCUCAUGUGACUUGAACUUUGCAUACCUGAGUGGCCGAGAAACUGCUUCUGGGAUGGAUUUUCAAUUUAGAAACCUUUUGGAGAGUGAACAAAAGCAAAACCAGAAUCUUCAAUCAUAAAGGGCUGACCUAAUAUUUAUUGCAAAAUAGACUCUGGGUUGUUAGUGCUAAGCAUUGUGCCGUGUACAUUUACUGGACUUUCUUGUUGUUGUUGUCUUUGCAUACACUCAGCAGUGUCUACACUAUUUCUUGUGGUGGGUAGGUCUUUCUUGUUGAUGGUCUUUCCUGAAGAGAGAAACCUGUCUGUUGACUGCAGUUUUGUGCAUUUGUGUUUCCAUAUGGUUCCAAUCUCACUCUAAGGCCUCAAGGAAUCAUUAAUGAGGUAAGAUUAAAGUUAGUAGCUCUCAUCUACAAGCAUUUUUGAUGUAAGCUUAAAAGGGGGCAUUUGCAAGAUUUGAAGUCCUUGCAUUUCAUAGAUUAUCUCAUACUUUGAACUAAUCACUGAGAAUUCCCCUGUCUUGGGGAAUGAUCUACUGCUCCUGUUCAACAGGUCAGAGGAUUCUCUUGGUAGUUAGCAAUUAGAAGGCUGUUCAAAAUGCCACUAAAUCUGCCUUUCUAGAAAUUGGAAGGAUGAAGAGAAACUGUUCGGUAUGGGGCUGCCCUACCAGUGAAUGCUCUUUCUCUUCUAGAAAGAUUUGACAAGUCUUGAGGUUGCAAUAAUUACUCAUGCUAACAACAUGUCUCUUCAAGUGAUAGUAUUUUGAAUGAUACUCUUGGGGUCUUAUCAUUGAGCCUGUACCCAGACAAUUAAUGCUUCCAUAAUGCACUGUGUAAGUGCGGUAGUUUACUCUUAAGUACCCUUGCUAUUAUCACUCUUCAUGAGAGUAUAGAAUGUGCCUUUCGAAUUUGGAAGCUAUUCAAAGUCCAGUUGAGGACUGAUCUCUUUGCAUCCUCUGUUGGAGAGCCCAGAGAAGGUUGUAGAAGAGAACUGAGUGGGAAGUGAGAGUCUUGAGGACCUCUUCCAUUAUCUACUGGGAUCCUAGGCCGAACUCUGUAAUUUGUGAACUUUUAAAACAUUCUUCUUAUCUAUCAUCAGAGUUUACAUAUUUUCAACUCUUCAAAACCAUUAAUCAGAAGAAGACUAACUUCUACUUCUUCAACUCCAAAACAAUAGGUGAUGGAAAUAUUGGCCACUAUUUAGAAAACAAUCCAAGAAAAUAAUGGCUUAGCUCACUUAAAUGUUUGUUCCAUAAAGCAACUUAAAACUCCCAUAGUCAGAGUCAAUGUUAUAGACAUAAAAUACUUAUAUUUUAUAGAUCAUAUGAAUAGUUGUAAAUAUUAAGUAUUUGAUUGAAAUAGAUGACACAAUGUGUGUCUACAUGUAUUGUUUGACCUUUUCAGUUGAUAAUCUCAAACAGUAGAAUACAAAAAAAAAUCAAAAGAGUAUUUUUAUCAUUUUUAUUAUGUGGAAAAUUACCACGCUUUUCUUUAGGAAAGUGAUAGAUAAUAAGGUGUGAAAUAAUGUUAUGCCUAGUAAGCACAUAGGUUAAAUAAUUUCUCUGUACCAAGUGCUAUUUUGCACUGAAUAUAUUUAAAAUCCCAAAACUCAAAAGAAAAUGUGCCAAUUAAUCAUCUAUGAGAUUUAGUAACAAAAGAGAACUCUAAUAACAACUUCUUGAACACCUAUGGAAAACCAUGUACUGAGUGCGUACACCCGGCACUGUUCUCCAUGCGACAAAUACAGCUUCCUGUCCUACACAGUUACAUUCCAUUCGUGGAAGAAAUCAUAUGAACUAACUGAGGAAGUUAUAGAAUAGUCAGGUCGCCAUGAAUACUGAGGGAAAAUAAGCAGGGCAAGAGUGUUGCCAGCGUUUUCUUCAGCAUGGUAAUCGUGUGAGUAAUAUGAGUGCAGCUGAUAAUGUGUACAGGCCUCAGACAUAAGCCAGUUCAGGGGGAGACACUGGGUAAGGAGAGAGAACUGCUGUUCUGUAUUGGGGGCUUAUGGGAGGGGGGGCACUGAGGAGUGGCAAAGGAUGCAUCCAAUUAUAAUAGGAAGUGUUGGAGAUCAGGCAGUCAGUACCUAAAAAAGAAUGUAUCAGACUCAGGAGAGUAAGACCCUGAGGCCGACUCAAAGUCUGCCUGUUUAGACAAUAAAGUUAUUGGUGUGCCACAGAGAAACAAAGUCAGGAGAGAUCAAAAAGAAUUCAAUGCUUCAUCAGGGGCUGACAUCAUCAUUGCUUAAGAAACAGGACCUUUAAAAUCCCGUAAGGGAAGACCAGGUUAGGGUGGACUUUUCAAGGACCACCCAGGUUCUUGUCCUGAGAUCUUGUUUUGGGUACUAUGUGUGGAAUAAGGGAUUCGCAGAGACUGCAUUGUGCCUUGCGUCUACCUUAUUUAGAAGGCACAAAGAGUCUUCACAAAACCAAAUAGUGGCACUGUUUUAGAAGAACAGGACUUAGAAUCUAAAUAUUUUUAGUUUAUUUUAGGAGAGGUCAAGAAUAGGCCAUUUCCAGUAGAAAAGAAGGCAGGGAUUACAGAAUCUUCUCAAUGAGGCAGCCUACAGUGUGAGGACUAGCCUUGGUCUGUGUUGGGGCUAUAGAUGUGGAUGUUGUCAGUGCAAAGAAUACAGUGCUCUCUGGUGUUUGGGAGCAUCAGACAGCUUGUAAUAGAGAUGCUGUCUGCUCUUUGGAAAAAUGAUUCCAUUAACAAGAUAGAGGAGGAGCAAGGACAGAACCUUAGCGGAGGAGGAAAACACAGUUAUCCUUCCUGUGCCUUGGCCGGCUCCGUUGGGCAGAGAAGUGAAGAUAAUAUAUUCUUAUGAAGAAUGCUUUCAGAGUCAGAGGACAUUGUUAGAUUUCCAAGUUCACUGUAGUUGUAAAAAAAAAAAUGAAUGUGAAAAUAUAAUAAUGGGAACUGUUUGUCAGAUAGCACAUCAUUUUGACACGUUAAAAGAUACUUCUAAAUUGAAGUGUGUUCGUCAAUUUCUGCUCAGACCAAAGGGACAUAAGAGUUCUACCCUUAACCCUGGGAAGGCUCUGUGGUUUCUUAUCUCACCAAGGUACACAUUGCCCUUUACUCUUUUGUUAGACUCUGAUUCACUGGGGAAAGAAGAAGAGGUUAGACUUUUACUUACCCUAAGCAACCCAUUAAGAAACACCGCUUGCCAUCGCUUACCAUCACUUGCCAUUGCUUGCCAUCGCUUGCCUUCGCUCAUUAAGAAACACCGCUUGCCAGGGCUUGCAGGCCCGAGCAGACAUUGCGUAUCCACUAAGAUGAUCAUUUCCUCGUAGAUCGGGACAGAAUCCCAGUAGAUCUACCAAAACAACUUGGUGUAAACAAGACUUCCUUCUCCGGGGCUCACCGAUACCUCUGGGAUAUAGGUUAGCACCAUUUCCUGCUCGGGUACAGUGUGAAAGCCAUGCAGGUGCUUGUCAUUGAGAAAAAGAGGUCUCUCAAAUAUUCAUGAAGUGCCUGCGAUUGCAUUUUAAUUUACUUUAGGAAAUUGCCUGUUUUGUUAUUCAUUUUUUGUUUUGCAUAAUAGUUAUGACAGCUCCAGUUGGUUUCUGCUUCUGAGCAGCCCGUGCAGCUGUACUUUCUCAGAUAUCCAUCACACAGACUUCUCUGUUGAAUCAAAUUGAAUUUCAUUCAUGAGACAGUAAUUUACACUUUUAAGGCAUAUUUUUGUUAAUAUGCUGCAUUCGUUAGAAUGGCAUUUCUUUUCAGUUCUUGUGGAGUUACUUUUUUUCUUCCGUUUUAAACUAUUUUAACAUAAUUUUGGUUUGGAGAAGGAAGAGCAUGCUAGCUAUUUUUUUGAGGUUAUGUGGUUAUUUUAAGUGGAUCAAUUUUAGAAGGAAAUUAAAUGUGUGGCUAAAUGGUAGGUCUCUUAAAGAAAUUGACAUUAUCCAGAUGUCAAACACUAGCAUGAUAGAAAUAUUUUCUACAUUUCUAUAUUCUAUACAUAAGAAAAGGUGUAUCUGUAACAUCAGACAUGAAAUAAAAAACAUUGAGUUAUCUUUUGUAAGACAUAUACGAAAAUCAGAUUCUUAAAUCCAUUGCAGUGCCAAGUGACUAUUUAGUUUGAGUAAACUGACCACUUUAGAUCUUCGUGCUUAAUGUAUAUUGGAUGCCUAGCAGACUUGACUUAGCUAUUAUCAUGUCCAAAUCUAAGAUAUGAUUGUAAACUACAUCAAACUUUAAAAACUUGAUUUCCUAGAGUCCUAAUAAGUUUUCUUCAUUUCUUCUCCUCUCAACCUCGUUCUAUUGAGAUGGAUAGUUUUUGAUUAACUUUUCCUACAGCCUUCUCCUUUCUUUUUUAUCGCGCGCCUGUGUGUGCGUGUGCGCUUGCAUGAGUGUGCCAUAUUUUUCCUGCUACCUGCAAAAGCGAGAGAAUGGUGCUAGAUCUCUGGUAUGUUCAGAAUUGCUUGUGGUUAUAAGCAGUCUUAUGUGAGUGCUGGAAUCUGAACUUGGGUCUUCUGGAAGAGCAGAAAGCACUUUUAGCCACUGAACCAUCUUCCUACCCCAACUCGCCUUCAUAAUUCAACUGAUCUUUUUAGACCAUACUUUUCUCUAUGGACCAUUUAUUUCUACCUAACCCUUGUCUGUAGAUGGACCUGGAAUGCUUAACCUGUGAUUAAUUUUCACCUUUGACCUUCUCACCACCCACAAACUUAUGUGAUUGCAAAAUGUAUGUAUGUUACAGAAAUUUAGUCAAACCGAAUUAUUCUUUGCUGUGAAAAUCCCUGGCAAUUUUCCAAUUCUUUUCUGAUGUUGAUUUUGAUAUCAGGAUUUUGUGUCUACCUUUGUGACUGGUAAUUACUCAGUGCUGGUAUUUGCAAGGUGACUCUGAUCCUGAUGUGAUUUCCUGGAUUUUUAAAAUAUGACAGAAGGAUUGUGAAAUAGAAUACCAGUUUGACCAGUUCCUUCUCUUGCACUUUCCUCACCCCUGACGUGAAGCAGAGAGCACGGGAUCUGCACACACGGAUGAGGGUCCAGUGUCAGACUUCCCUGCUUUCACCUGGGUCUGUGACAUCUUAGUUUUCUUAUUGCUGGGUAAAGUCCUUGGUAAUAAGGAUAGAGAUUUGGUUUGAUUGAUGCUUUUGCUAAAUACCAGAGAACUGAAAUCCUAUAAUGUGAAACAAAAAACAAACAAACCAAAAAAAAAAAAAAAAAAAAACCAAAACAAAAAACAAAAAACAAAAAACCUUGGGCAGAGCCCUUUGUUGAGAGGCCUAAAGCUCACCUUUCAAGGUAGAGCCUCCUGCCUCAGUUUCCCUGUGAGUGCCCAGAGGGAAGCCAUGGCAGUUCUGCCGGAGCAUUAGCACACUGAGUACACCAUAGGAUACAGGCCAAUUAUACAAGCACAAGUAUUUACGGUCUAAAAGCCGAUUUUGUUAAGAGAAGGAUUUCUCAUCGGAAAAGAAUAAGUAAUAAAUACAGAAUAUAAAACCCUUAGGACAGGAUCCUAGCUAAAUAGGAGAGCCAUCUCUUGGUAUAGAGUAUUGAAACAGGAAUAUAACCAUUCAAGAAUAUCAUUCAUCUUACAAUACAUUUCAUAUCACAGAUAGAUAUAUAUGUGCAGAGGUCAUUAGAACUCUCGAAAAUAUAUAAAGUCUGCUUUUUGUGAGCAUGUGUUAGAAUUUAUGUCAUUGUCAGUUUUUCAUUAGAACUGGCUACACGACUAAAUUUUCAUUAAGAGUGAACUACAUUGACACUCCUCAUUUCUACCUGGAUGUUUUAAAAACCAGACUAUAAUUUGCCAUCAGAAGGCCACUGAUCAUUUUCGAAUCUUCAGUGUCUCUGAGGGUCAAGGAUCCUCAGCAAGUGGUGCUUGGUAUUCUGUCUUUCUGUGACAAACCUUUGGGGGGGGGGGUACAUUCUAAAAAUGACAUAGCUCAUUGCUAUAGAUAUAGCACUGAAGAUGCAUGUCUUCCCAGAAUUCCUGUGUGAUUCUCUCAUCCCCACUGGGCUGUCACAUUAAGACGGUCCAUGGGAGUUGCUUUGAUCGUAAGGGUUAAGCUUUCAUAAAGGUUCUUGGAAAUAGACAAGUGAUCAUUUCUUUCUUUCUCUUUCUAUCUUUUUCUUACGGUCCUCUGUAAUCCAAAAAGAAGCAAUUACCAAGCACUGGUACUCUGGUACCUCUCUUGUAUUUCUUGAUCUUCAGGACUUUGAGAAAUUUUGAUAUUGAUGCUUAAACUGCUCUGUCUAGGGUAUAUGUUUAUAUUAGUCCAAACUAAUUUCAAACUGUUCUUCUUAACAGUUGUAUACUUCUUUAGAGUAACACAUGGUUUCUAAGAAAAAUUAAUUUAUUGAAAUUGAUAUUUGUUUAACAAGUAAUUUUGGAGACAUACUAAGGGUUUGAUCUAAACUAUAUUAAGUAUUAACUACAGAAAUAAAGAACAUUACUUAAAUGUUAUGUACUUUAAGUUUUUCUGUGAUCAAAUGAAGGCAAGACUUCUUAUUCAAGAGUAUUUUCUUAGAGCGGAAUGGUUAGCUCUAUGUAAUUCACUUAGAAGAAUCCCUCAGCCAAAAUAAGCACUCACAAUAUGUUUAUUCUUACCUUUCUGUUAAGCACUCACUCAUGAGAGGGUGAUGCUUAAUGGGAAAAAUAGAAGUCUCAAUCAUCUCAGAAAACGACACCUCUUCAUCAAUCCAUAGGGAAACUGUGACGAACAACCACCCUAGAAAACCAAAGAAUAGACUCAGUACAUAGCAAAACUCAGAGAGUAACACAAGUUAUUUCUUAGGAAACACCCAUUCCUGUAAAAACCGUUCCGUAAAAAUCCAUGCAAAUAUCAGCCAGCAGGUUUACCAUAAGGGAGGUGAAACCCCCUCCAGACCAUAAGGGAGGUGAACCCCCUCCAGACCAUAAGGGAGGUGAAACCCCCUCCAGACCAUAAGGGAGGUGAACCCCCUCCAGACCAUAAGGGAGGUGAAACCCCCUCCAGACCAUAAGGGAGGUGAACCCCCUCCAGACCAUAAGGGAGGUGAAACCCCCUCCAGACCAUAAGGGAGGUGAAACCCCUCCAGACCAUUAGGGAGGUGAACCCCCUCCAGACCAUAAGGGAGGUGAAACCCCCUCCAGACCAUAAGGGAGGUGAACCCCCUCCAGACCAUAAGGGAGGUGAACCCCCUCCAGACCAUAAGGGAGGUGAAACCCCCUCCAGACCAUAAGGGAGGUGAAACCCCCUCCAGACCAUAAGGGAGGUGAAACCCCCUCCAGACCAUAAGGGAGGUGAACCCUCUCCAGACCAUAAGGGAGGUGAAACCCCCUCCAGACCAUAAGGGAGGUGAAACCCCCUCCAGACCAUAAGGGAGGUGAAACCCCCUCCAGACCUAAGCCAGCACAGAGGCCUGCUCUGUGAAAAAUUCAUCAGCAACAAGUUGAAACCUUUAGAAGUCAGUGUGUGCUUUAGAGGAGUGCUCAGCCAGAGGAGCCAGAGGCUGCACAUCAAAGGGGUAUCUGCCCACUCCUUACACUGUGGGUCUUCUCACAAGGAUGGGCUUUCCACAGCAUCUUCUGUUUCUCAUGUCUCAUUAGCAAACUUCAGUCUCAUACCUACUGUGGGAUACCAGAGCAGAGCCCAUAAUACUAAGCUACUGAGUCCAGUCUGCUCUUCAAAUAUGAGCUUGGAGUUAAACAUGCUAGGAUAAACCAUUCAAUGUCAUAGGCCUCCCAUAAUUACAAUUAUCAGGUAUCUUUAGCCAACAAAUGAACACUGAUCAUUGGAAAUAUCAUAUGUAAAUCCUUCAGUUUGUAGUCACGGGUCAUAAAUACCAAUAGAAAUGUAAUUGAAGAAAAUACGUAAUAAAAAAAAAAGGAAUGUUCAUCACUGAUAACAGAAGGAUCCUGUGUGGCAAAAAAAAAUAGAAUUAAUAAUAUUUAUAGAAGUAAGGAGAUGUAUCCUUCCAAUAUAUGUACACAAAUCAGAAGAAAAUAAAACAUUUUAUUUUUCAAAUCCCUGUUCGCUGUAACUAGCAGGUGAAUAGUCACUGGAAUAUUAGCUGUCUGUGGGCUCAGCUAAGUCCCUAAUUCUGGAACAUUUGGUGUGAGUGAGGAAUGUUUUCAUUAACCUUGUGAGCUUCCAGGGAUCUCUUUGGGUCACAUCCGGAAUAUGCAGUUGGGUCAAGCCUUUUAUUAAGAGACAAAAGAUGGAAGGCUUGGUAAUCUGUUGCUUGCAGAUCAAAGUGCAUCUUAAAUGAAAAGGAAAAUGAAUUCUCCUGUUAUUUUGCUGCAUUCAUCAGCAUAGGAUUGUUGCAUAUUAUUUUCACAAGACUAUAAGGGGGAAUAACCCUAAUACCAAGGAACAUACAUGCAUUGCCUAUUUUUAGAUAUGUGCCAUAUUGGGAGAACGACAAUAAGGAAACAUUACUUUAAGUUUCAUUUUGGUGACAUGGAGAAAAGUUAACUUCCACUGAAUUUCACUGGAAUGUUGUUGUUCUGUCGUCAGGUUCAAACAUGAGCAUUCCUAUUUGUAUGCAAAUUAUUGGUGCAGUGCAGAGUUAAUAGUAGUAAAGUCUAAAGAAGCACAAAGGCUUCAGUUGGAGAUGGUACUACAUGCCUCCCCACCCCCACACCCUUCAAGAGGCAGAGCUAUUUGGAUCUUUGUGAGUACGAGGCUAGCCUGAUUUACUUAGUGAGUUCCAUGGCAGCUGCUAUUACACCCGAGACUGUGACAAGACAAAUAAACCAAGGAUCUUUGACUACAUUUUCCUAGUGAAAAAAUACAAAACAAUAGUCAAAACUUAAUUGUUUCAUAUCACAGUUACUUUCUGCAUAAUAAUGCCUUAGUUGAAGAAAUAGGACAACAGAAUAAAAUACUUUAAUUGCAUGUAAUUACAUUAGUUUUCUGUUGCCAUUAUGAGUUUUUUUUAAAAAAAAGAAUGCAUUAUUGUGUAUGAUAAUAGUCUAUGUUUUGUUUUAUUUCAUUGGGGUCAAACAGUCUUAACAGGACUCCACUUUUUUUUGAAAGAGUGCAUCUGAGGAUCUUCAUAUGGGGGUUCAUGUUAGAAUUAAAAGAAAAUUGUAUGCUACAGUCUGUGUUAUAUAGCUUUCUUUGAGAAAAGCAAAAAACCUGAAAACUCACUUUUUAUAAGAAUACUUCCAAAGGGUUUUUAAGAACUGAAAUAUGUCUUAUCAGCUAACAUUGAAGAACUGUAUUAAAUUGAAUUUUGUAAGGAUACAGUGGAACCAUCCUCUACAGGACAUAUUUGACACCUUAAUUUUCUUGCCUAUUCUGACAUGGAAAGUAUCAGCCUUUCACUCAUCACAGAUCAUCUCGAACUGCAGUGUGUAAACUCCUGAGGAAUGAUGAAGACACACCGGUCCAACUGGGAAGGCUCUAGCUUUCAUUUUCAAAAACCAUAAAAAGCUUUGAUUUGCAGCUGUUAGAAGAAAGUUAAAAUAUUAUCAGAAAACUGCUAUCUUGCAGAGUACAGCUGAUAUAUUACUGGUGACUGUGCAAAAUUAUAGCAUUGUCCAAUCCAGGAACCAGAUGGUCCAUCUCCUGUGAUUUGAAGAGCAUGGUUUGACUACAAAUUUUUCUUGGUACUGUGGGCUCAUUUUUCCCCUUCUCUUUUUACCAUUAGCACGUGAGUAAGAGAUUCCACAGAAUGUCUCCCAAGUGACAAACUGAUCUGCUAACACAUCUCCAUCUCAAAAAAAAAAUUAUUUUUGUUUCUCAUUCAGAGCACAAGCUACAAAUAAAUAAAAUUUUAGUAAAUGCUUUAAGGAAAUCAGUAAGCAUUUCACAAGUUAUUUUCUCAAAUACAUGAGGAUAUUAAAAGAAGUUUAGAUACUUGAUAAAAAUGUCUUUUGAAACUGCUUGAUAUGUAAACAUUAUGAAUGUUUAAUUCCUUUGGUGGCACACAUAUUAUAAAUAAUGAGUAGCAUUUAUAUGAUAGGACAAAAUUAGAAGUGUUAUAAAUGUGGCUUGUUUUGUCGUUAUUUAAGCCUCACAGUUUUAUAUGUUUACCAAGUCUGCCCUUCCCACUUUCCGUCCUUGCUGUGACUAUCCAUACUCUCCCUUUUAUUUCCCCUCAUAUCUUUAAUUUCUUUGCUUUUCUAGAUAACUUUACUCCUAGUACAAACAUACAGUAUUUUCUGCGACUCUGUGAAAUCAAAGAGCCACAAAUGUGAGAAAACAAUAUUUGUUUUCCUAAUACUGUCUCAAUUCACUUAAAUUAAAUCCAUUUUCUCACAAACUGCAACUCCAUUAUUCUUAUGGGUGAUAAAAUUCCUAACGUGUGUAAAUACUAUAUUUUCCUUAUAUGGCCCUCUGUUGUUGGACAUUUAGGUUGACUCACUAACUUUUACGGUGACUAGCGCUAUGAUAACACUGCUGUGCAAGUGUCUCUGUGUUGUGCCGCUGGACUACUUUGGGUUGACACCCAGGGUUCGUAUUGGAGACUACACAUUAAUGUAUUUCUAGGUUUCUGACAAACCUCCACACUGCUUUCUGUAGAAGGAGGAUUGGUUUACAUCCUCUCUAUAUAACAGCGCUCUUCUGCCCAGUACUUACUGUUCUUUGAUUUCUGGGUGGCUGACAUUUUGGGAGGACAAAGCAGAACCUCAAUGUCUUGAUUUGCAAUCCGUCUACGGCUAGUGAAGGUGACUGUUGCUUCUUCUAUUUCCUGGCCAUUCGUGUUUUAUUUACUGAUCAUUUGUAGUUCAGUGGUUGUGCACUACCGGUUCCUUUCUUGACUGGGUUGUUCAUUUUCUUGCUCUUCCAUGUUUUGAAUUUUUUAGUUUUCCUUCUUGACUUUCACGAGGAUGUCAUGAAUCAACUGACAAACAAGACAGUCUGUCAGGGCGCCAAGCCACUCUCUACCUCUGUGUUAGAAUCUAAUCGGCUGUACCACAUGAGCCAACAUCUACAUUGUUUUCCAUAUAGAAUAUCACAAUUCUCACACUUUGAUUGUCAUUUCUAAUGAAUGUGAACAUAUAUUAGAUAAGCCAAGACUUGAAAUUUAAAGAAAUUUAAUGAAGUAUUCCUCAAAAGAUUCUGUUUUUUGAAACCUACUUUCUACUAUAAAGCAUCCCCUUAAAGAGACUGUAGGAAUAUGCUAGUAGGAUCUACUUUCUGAGUCCUAACCUGGAAUGAUAUUUCACUUCUUUUUUUUUUUUUUCAUAAAAAUUGGGUUUUAAAAAGACUAAGAUUUAACCCAAGGGGUUGAAUUUUACAAAAGUGAGAAUGGUACAAACCCUAAAUGGAAUGACCUCAGUGCUGGGAGAACAUGUCCAUGUGAACCUGCUGGGUAUAUUAACCAUCAGUCUUAAGGAGGCAGCAGGACUGGUCUCCAGCAGGACUUGGUUUUGGAUCCAUUGGAACUUGCCAGUGUACCUGUAUGUAGUUGGCAGCCAUUCUUGCACACUGUUGGCCUCUCUCAGAGCUUGACAAAGUGCAACUUUUACAGUUGUCACAUCUGCUUUGGACUGUUCAGUAUGCCCGCAUUACUUCUGAAAGAACACGUCCCAUGGGUCUCCCUGGCUUUUAAUACUGUGUGAUCACUCUUGGAAAACGUUAACAGAUUAUGACAAUUACUAAGAUAAUACAUCAAGCAUAGUUAUGUGGAGACAUUGGUAGCAAGGCUGUAUUCAACAUAUGACCCUAUCUGGUUCCAUAAUAGUACUGGGUACCUUGCCUAACUAUGUGUUUUAAAGUAAUAAUAUGCAUGAGACAUGUUUGCGUUCAUCUGCUAAUAACAGGCCAAUCCCAAACGCUGAAAUGGGAGUGCACUUCAUUACUGCCCAGGCUCUUGGCAUAAACUUUCUGAUAUUCGCAUUUGUCCAGUCACAGUACAUGCUCAUCAAAAGACUAGGCUUUGGUUUGAAACCUUCCAAAUAAGUAUUUGUUACCACCUUCUAUUGUGUUUUAUUUCACUUUCCAUAUAUAUUUGAAGUUAGGCUGUAAAUAUGUUGUAAGGAACCAAAAUGGUGGUUGAUCUCCGGUUAAAACUACACAGGGGUCUUAGUUUUCUGAUUCUAUGUAGCAACCUGUCCAAUCAUUACCUCUGAAGAGUGUAUUCAUCUUUCACUUGGAUAUUUGAAAGUGAUUAAAAUAACAUGUCUCUAGACUCAUCUUUUCAUAGUAACUUCUGCUGUGCAUUUUAUGACAUUGAGAUCACUAAGUUUGGUCCCCAAAUAGUGCCAUCGUCUUGAUAAAUGGUUCUUUGUGAUAUUUUCCUAUCUGUUGGGAUGUAGGUGUUCCCUAGAUUUUAUGUUUCCACAUUUUCCAUUCCUUUCUUUGUGUAGAAAUCUUCCUGUUGAGGUGUCCUCACUUGAGUUUUAAUCCUGUUAUUAUUAGCAUCUAAACUAAGACAAAUUAACAGAUUUGGUUUGACAACAUGUUUGGCUUUUAAGAUACUUGUCUCCUUCAUUUGUGCCCUUAAUAUAGUUCAGGGAACCUGGCCUUAGGUCAAUGAUUAGGGAAAAUGCAGUUGGUAUUGUUUUUAGAGCCGUAAGAAUGAAUAAUUAAGCAGUGAAAUGAGAGAAUGGAUAAAGGAGAAAAUUAGUAAAUUAUGAAUGAGAAUAAAUGUACAUGAGUUUACUGGACUGAUAAAUAGCAGUGAAAAUAUUGUAGCAUGCUUGCAUAGAAAGGAUAGCCACAACAGUAUAUAUAAAGUACCAAAGCAUAAAUAAAAUAACAAUAUAAAUGUAAAUGUAAAAAUAAAAAGAAGAAGUAAUAUGAAAUAAAGUGCAUUGCUACUUCAGUGGGUAUUUUUUAUAGUUUCAAUGCCGUGGUUUUUCUGUACCCCUCAAGUGACUUUUGCAUCAGUCACUGUAGGUGUGGGGAUCACUCCCAGUCUAAAUAAUCGAGACAAAUUCAGUAAAUCCAUCCUGCUCCCUGAUAGGAAAGUCAGUGUGGAAAGUCUACUUUACAGCAGAGUUAUCCAGCCUGAGGCUCUAUCAGUUACAACUGUCUCACUGCUACUUGGCAGUUCUUUCACUAAAUGUGUGGGACCUUAUUUAAUCAAAUACAGAAGACGUACACAGUUAUGUUUACCUUUUUCACUGGGAGGAAUCUGUGCUGCCCCUGUCAAAGAUGCCAGUAUGUUCCACAGUGCUCUCCCAUGUCCUGGAGCAGUUGGCAUAAGCAGUGGCCAGAGUAGAGCCGGGCAACUGAUUCCCAAGUGCUCUGUGGAGACUAUUGCCAUGAAGAUCUGGUGUGCUUGACAGCCCGCUCUGCUCCGACUUCCUCUCUCUGUACUCUCUAUCUUGCUUCUGGUUAUAUCUCUGGUACCUGUAGGCUCCCUGCCAAGUACAGGCUCCUGCAUGGCCAUGUUCCAAAAGGGCCAGCACCACCCUGGCAGCCACUCCUGUCCAGUGCCUGACAUGAAGUUCAUGGUACUGUAGCUGUUUCCUUCUUAAGAAAAUAUUCCCACCACCACUGCCUUCCCCAUGCCUCAUAGCAGAUGGAUCUCUUAUUUAUCUUCCUACUCCAGUGCUUCACUGGUCACACAGAUGACCAGUUAACCCGCCAUCUUACAGGCAAGCCGCUCUUCACAGCCUAGAAAUAUGUAGCCAUGGGGGGUGGAGAACUGGGGGUAGCCACUCGAAAGUCCCAGACUCCGGAGAAGUGAGAGGCUCCCAUGACCCAACCGGGAUGACCUUAGCUGAAAUACCCAACAAAGGGGAGAUAGAACCUGUAGAGACCAACUCCAGUGUAGAGGCAUGGACCCCAGAUGAGGGAUGGGGCCACCCACCCAUCUCACAAUUUUAAACCCCGAAUUGUUCCUGUGUAAAGGAAACAGAGGGACAAGAAAUGGGACAGAGACUGCAGGAAAGGCCACAUUAACACCCCCCCCCCCACCUAAGGAUCCAUCCCAUCUGCCGAUAUCAAACCCCAACACUAUUGCUGACGUCAAGAAGUGCUUGCUGACAGGAGCCUAGUUCCCUGAGAGGAUCGGCCAACACCUGAGCAACACAGAUGCAGAUGCUCACAGCCAACCACCAGACUGAGCCUGAGGAUCCCAAUGGAGGAGUUAGGGUAAGGACUGAAGGAACUGAAGGGGGUUGCAACCCCAUACAAAGAACUACAGUGUCAACUAGCUGGAUUCCCUAGCUCUUUCCCAGGGACUAAACCACCAACCAAAGAGUAUACAUGGAUGGGUCCAUGGUAACAUCUACAUGUAGUGGAGAAUGGCCUUAUCUGGCAUCAAUGGGAGGGGAGGCCUUGGUCCUGUGGAGGCUCCAUGUCCCAGGGGAGGGAGAUGCUAGAGCAGUGAGGCAGGAUUGGGUGCAUGGGUUGGUGAAAACCUUCUUAGAGGCAAAGAAGAAAGGUUAUAUGAUAGAGGGGUUAUGAAGGAGAGACUGGGAAGGGGAACAACAUUUGAAAUAUGAACAAAAUAAAAUAACCUAUAAAACAGACACCAUUCAAUUUAAGAUUUUUAUGCCUUAGUUAUUUUAAAGAUCAGUCCUGGUUAAAAUUAAUAGCAAGGUGAAGCUUAUCACCAAUGUUACUUAGUAAGAAGAAUUGUGUCAUAUGACAUUUUUCAACCACCAAAUCCCAUUGUAUUUCAUUUUUCCCCCUUGGUAAUGUAAAUUCUUAUAUUUUGGUGAUGUUAAACCACUGAAGGUUUACCUAAAACAGCAGUCUGAACACAGUCGCAAAUUUGCCCAAAGCAUGCCCAUUUUUUUUUCAGUAAUGCCCUAGACCCUUUCAGUAGUAGUAAAAUCCACAUCAGAUUGUUGUCUCAAAGUGGAGAUAAGGUGUCCUAGCAGAAUUAAUUUAGGAAUGAAUUUUAUGGGAGCUUCAAACCUGGCUAGAAUCCACCAUUCCUUGUAGCACAAAAACUUUCCCUAUGACAAGGGGGCCAUGAAAAACAAAAUUAAUGUGGAAGCAGAAAAAGAAAAGAGAAUGUAUUCACACUCUCCACAGGUACAUAUACCCAAAUGUGACAAUCUCAGCCAUUUUCAGUGCAAGGUGAAGAAACCAGCCCUUGCCUUUCACACUUCUCCACAAUGCCCUGAGAGAAUGGUCUGAAACACACCCCUACACCCCAUGCAAGAGCUAGCAAAAGGUUCUCCCCAUAAAAUGUGUUAUCAAACCCGAGUUAUAUAUUUAGGAGAGAGAAUGAUCCUGAGUGCAGUGAGCGACUGGAACAGCUUCUAGAAGUUUAUCUAUAAAAAUGGAAAGACCAUAUUCUACCACAUUUAAGAAAGAGUUCCACCGGACUCUGACUCUUGUAGACAACCAUUUCUGGCAACUCCUCCAAGCAACGUCCAGUGGUCUGGAGUGGGUGCUUAUCUCAGUCUAAUCUGUUGCAAUUUUCUUUUCUGUUUGUCUCCCCCAAAGCUCUCUGCAGAAGGAAGCGUGAGGAAUAUUGAGCUUGAUGUUAGUUAAUAAGAUUUCACACUGAAGGGCUAUGCUGACUAUCCUAGAAAAUGGAUCAUUGUAUACAUUACAAGUGCAUUUACAAAGUAGUACCAGCCACUAUUGGUUGCGACAGAACAACAUAGAUGAAGGUAUAGAUAUUGUGAAUCAACACCCAGUGACUUGAACCAGUAAUUUCAUAGCUCACCUGCACAGUAUUGCAAUUAUGUGUAGUUCAUCUGAUUCUCUUCCAUGGCAGAUAACUCUUACAGAACCUUCUUUCCUUUGCAGUUAUUAGGUGGUUCCUUUUUUUCAUAUGCUUCCCUGCCAUGAAUGCAACCUCCCAGCUAAAUGCAAACACAACCUCUUUAAAACUGGUAAAGCAUCCUUGGAUUUAUUCCAGUAGGAAAAUUCUAUUCAUGGUCUAUCUCCCACAGGACCUACGUCUAUUUGACUACCAACAAAAAGUAAUCUUAGGCAAUAAUAAUAUACUUUGAAUUGUCUAGGGAUGUGACUGUAAUAGUAUUUAAAAGAAAAAAAAUUUGUCAUAUUUUCGCACUUUCAAUAAUUUACCCUAUUCUUAGCAAGGUUGAACUUUUGGAGCUAAUGUUCUUAGGUAAGAUCUGUACAACUUGUGAUGUUUAAAGUCUUGCUACAGGAUGCCUUUCUUAUUCUGUACUUAUAGCUAUGCUUUUUCUUUAUUGUGCUGACUUUACAUUAGAAUUAACAUCUAGCGUCUCUUUCCUUCACUUCGCUUUUACUCAUGGUGCAGAUAUCUACUUAUUAACAGGGAUAUUAUUUUAAUGGCAUACUUAGACAUUUUUACAUUUAAAAUGCCAUUGUGGCAUUACAUCCAUUUGAUAAUUAUGUGUAUAAGAAGUAGCAUUAGCAAUGGGUAUUUUAUAAAAGAUGUGAAUGGGGAGCUCAAAUACAUUUUUCAUAAAAGGAAGUUUGAGUGGCAGCAGGUUUAAAAAUUACUGUACACUGAGUCUGUAAAACAGAAUUCCUGGAGUCCGCAUUAGCUUAGCUCCCUUCCUCCGACUCAGCCAUGAUUUAACAAUGGCAUUUUCAACUGUUUCAAAGUGAACCUAAUAUUUUCAUUGGAUUUACAUAAUGUGCGUCCAUUACUAUAUUAUUAUAUUGAUUUAUUGUACUUCUUUUAUUUCUUGACCCAAAAUAUAUAAAAAGUCAUUGUGGUCUGGGGACUGAGCUAGGCAUGAGGAGAAUAGCUGAGGAACAGAGGAGAGGAUCAGGUCUCCAAGAGAUUCUGCUUCUUCUAGAAUCAUGGAUGCAUAAUGUGGAUCCAUGUGCAUCGAGGACCAUGUGCAUUUAUUAUGGGCCAGUAGCAUUGGGAUCCAGCCGUAGAUCCUGGAUGAUCAAGGAAAGUCCUAAAGUGAUGUUUAAGUUAGAAUUAAAGGGAAUAGAAAGGAGAAAAUACUGAAGAGAGGGAGACUUGUGCUUUCUUACCAGGUAGAAUCAUAUUUCUCAGUAAUGUCUAAAAUAUGAUUGAACAUAACAUUCGUGGGCUGUUGGUGUUCUGUCUGGCAGAAAACUGAAGGACAAUGAUAAGAGAUGAUCAGAAACAGGUGUUUCCACAGGUACCUUCGAAUGAUACUUCGUUAAAGUGAAGAGUAUAGUAAAUUUACAGACUGCUAGAUUUAGAAAUUGUUAUGAAUGUGUACUGUAUAUUAUACUAAAUAUACAGAGAGAUUUAGAUAUGUAUGUGUACGUGUAUAGUAUACUAAAUAUACAGACAAAUAGAUUUGGAUAUGUUUUGAAGGUGUAUAUGUAUGGUAUACUAAAUUUACAGACUAAAUGAUUUGAAUAUGUUGUGGACAUACCUUAAUCUUCACAGAAGCAAUCAGUGUGGGUUUUCAUUUUGUUUUGUUAUUUUUGAAAACAGUUAUUUAAACUUAGAGGAUGUCUCAUGGAAUUAGGGUGAGAUUGAUAAAUGCCCAGGAAAACAUGCAGGAACCAUGGGGACGUAGGUCCAGGCAGCCAGAUCCUAGAAGUUCUACAAGGAAUUUAAUUCUUUCAUUAAAUGACUCUUUGCAUGUGGCUUGCCUUACUGUAUUCUCAUAUGUUUUAUCUUCUGUUGAAUCAGAAGCAUAAUAUAGGAAUUUUAACCAUAGACAGUUAACCUAGCCAGAACCAAGAGGAAUGGGUUGACCUUGAGUGACUAAAGUUAACUUUUCUGAAACAGUAUUUUCCAAAAAAUAUAUAACGUCAUUGCACUUUACCCGUUACAUUAAAAUGAGGCCAUGGCCAGUGACCUUUUGCAGUAACGUCUAACUGUGAAAGAACCAAUCUGAUGAAUUAAGACUUCCUGUGCUAUAAAUCACAUUUACUCAUUCAUCCUCGUUGGGUUUAAAGGGUGGGUCCCGGAAGGGCUACAUGUAUUUUUCAGCAGUGUUUUAGAACCAAUAUAGCUGUCAAUUCUCCCUUUUUUGGAGGCCAUGUGAAAACAACAAACAAACAAACAAACAAACAACCCCAGAAGAACAAUAAAAACUACUCAAAGAAAAAUAGUCAGAAGAUGAAAUGCAAGCUAAGAGUUUGUCUCCAAUGUAGUUCUAUUACGAUUACUUGAUCCAUAUUCCAUCAGAUCAGCCUCCAAACACUGACACCAUUGCAUACACUAGUAAGGUUUUGCUGACAUGACCCUGAUAUAGCUGUCUCUUGUGAGGAUAUGCCGGGGCCUAGCAAACACAGAAGUGGAUGCUCACAAUCAGGUAUUGGAUGGAUCACAGGGCCCCCAAUGGAGGAGGUAGAGAAAGUAACUAAGGAGCUAAAGGGGUCUGCAACCCUAUAGGUGAAAAAACAAUAUGAACUAACCAGUACCCCCGGAGCUCAUGUCUCUAGCUGCAUAUGUAUCAGAAGGUGGCUUAGUCGGCCAUCAUUGGGAAGAGAGGCCCCUUGGUAUUGCAAACUUUAUAUGUCUCAGGACAGGAAAACGCCAGGGCCAAGAAGUGGGAGUGGGUGGGUAGGGGAGUGGGGGGAGAGGGUAUGGAGGACUUUGGGAUAGCAUUUGAAAUGUAAAUGAAGAAAAUAUCUAAUUAAAUAAAAAACAGAUUACUUGAGAUUUUUGAACAUUCCUAUUGAUAUUUAUAUCCUUUGCUUAAGUCAGUUCUCUCACAGAGACAGUCAUUCCCCUUCAGCUGUGUGGAAUGCAUACAUUAGUUUCAAGAUGGUGGUUGUCUUGACUUUCCUGAGUGUCUUUAUUCUUCUAUGUUUAAAACAUUCUAUCCAAGGAUUAAUCACACAAAUGUUUUAACAACAAUGCUUGGCUCUAAUGCUGCCUUCUGACUAGGGACAUUUUAAAGCCCCUGGUUUGAAAAAGAUGCGUGAAUUUAUUACAGCAUUUGAAGCGGUGCCAUUUUAAAGAUCAAGGUCCCCAUACACAAGUUUCCAAACGCCACCUCUUGCCCUUUAUUAAUCGCAGAAGAAAUGCCUAGGGAUGAGGGCUGCCUGCUUUAUGGAGGUCCUCCAUCAGUCAUCUCUGAAAUAGAGACUGAUGCUAUUUACCUGUGGGCAUCUCUCCUCGAUGAAUAGUGGGAAUUAAAAGCAAUUAUUAUAAAUUAAUGACUCUUUGAGUUGUAAAAGGUUGGGUAUUAUGGAGUUUCAUUGUCAUAGAAGUGGACAAUUAGUGAAAUAUAAACUUGUGGACUGCACUAUAGAUCUUGUGACAUUUCCAGGCACUCUGCCUGUUACUGCUUUCCUCUGUAUGAUACCAUCAGUGCAGCAGUCACAGUUUUACCGAUGCCCAUGGAAACGGCAGUAUUUUAUAGAGGAGGGAAUAAUUUUUCAUAGAAGCUUACAUGCAGUUCAGUUUGAUUAGGUUCUUAAUCACUCUCACCUAGACUUGGCCCCUGUACUGAAUCAGUCAGUGAACUAGUUUACAGCUAUUGAGCUUUGAACAGUAAAUCCUAAGUUUUCAAGUGAGCUGUCAUAUAAUUUAGUAGGAAUGCUGAUCUGCUGUUAUCAAGGUCAAAAACAAGCACUUUGUAAAUUGGUUUAUUGUCUAUCACCAAGGGAUCACCCAGUUCAAUUGUAGAAAUGGCUAACUUUGAGUAAGCAAAGAGGAGAGCCGGAUUACAACAGCAAUAAACUUGAAAUUGAUCAUCAUCUGAGGGUGAAUUCGUAGGAGGCAGUUGGUUUGAUGGAUGCAAUAUGGGUCACAGAAAGCAAAAGAUAUAAGCCAGCAUGCUGGUCAGUGGCGCUGCGGAAAUUAUGGGAGCUGGGGAGUUAUGGUUGGCCUGUGUUUGGCAAGCAGGUUCGGAGAAGCCUAACUAGACCUUGCUAGGUUGGUCCAUAAAGAUGGAACCUGGGAAGAGGAUCAAAUUUAGAGAAGAUACCAUUCACGAAAUAGGAUUAACAUCAUCUUUGAACACUGGAAUAUAAAGAUUUGGGAAGUCCCUAAGGGGUAAGGGUGCCAGGUAUCUGAGGGAGUCUGACAUUUACUACUGAAUGUUUGGGGUUUGUGACUGCCCCUUUAGACCAAUAUUAUAUUUUAAUAUUGAUGAUGUAGUCCAUUAAACCCUCCUGAGUUAAGCACUGACAAUUGAUGGUUCGUGAGCAUGCAACAUUCAGGGUGCUCUCUCCUCUCUUCCCUUUUUGUCUCUGUCUGCAUAUAACCUCCUCCUUUAAAAGGAAACUUUCAGAUGUUUUACCCCAAAUUAUCAUAAGAAAUAUAUUGCAUAAUGCAACCAAAUGCAUACAUAAUGUAAUGUGGCUGCAGCAAAAGGUUCCAAGAAGCGUGCUUAUUUAUAUGAUGAGCUCUGGAAUGUUCUUGGCGUUUUGUUUGUUUGUUUGUUUGUUUGGUUUGGUUUUGAUUUUGUUUUGUUUUGUUUUUUUAUGGUUGAUUGCUAUUGGCAAUUCCUGUUAAAAUAUUUCACUCCCUGCCUUUUAAGAGACAUUUGUCAGGGCAAAUAGGACAGGUGCAACUUCCUACUUCAGAUGUAGCUUAGGCAACAUGGGUACUCCUUUAGUAGAAGUCAAGUAAGAAAAAACCAUAUCAUCAUGCAGAUCAUGCAAUCUUUUCCCUUGUAAGUGCAUCAAAGUCAGAGAUGGAUUUGUGUCCAGAUAUGUGCUCUCAUACAACUUGUAUUUUUGCUAUAGGAAGACUGAAAGCAUGGGUGUGGUUCUGUGCAUUAUAUUGGAAUACUUAACUAUAAGGUCUCUUUCUACCUCUUAACGUUAAACAUAAUAAUUACCAGUUCAAUCCUGCAUUGUAUGCCAUGUGACAAAUGAGUGAAAGGACUGACAAUCACAUGCACUCUAAUGAGGAUUUGGUUGUUUCAUUGGGGUUUGAGGUUUUGUCAUUGUGCAGUGUUGAUUAGACCUAGGCUUUAUGCAUGCUAGGUAAGCACUCUGCAACUAAGCUACAUCCCCAGCUUCUUUUUCUUAUGCAGAUUCUGACAAAAUCUAUACCAACUCAGUGACUGAUAGGAAGGACUAAGAGGGUAUGAUAGCAGUGAGGAGAAACAGCUGUCUCUGGAAUAAUACAUUUUAGGUUGUUUUUGCCUUUCGUAUCAAAAAAAAGUUUUACAACUCUACUUUCUGUCCUGGGACGCCAGCACUCCAGAAAUCAGUUCUGUCACCAUAGAUCUUCUUGCACGAUGAUAGAUGUUCUACUCUGACUCAUGAUGUCUAUUACAGUACAGGGAGCUGAGGUUCCCAUUGUCUGCCAUUCUGAAAGCAGUUAUACAAGUCCACUCUCUUCUGUCCAGAACAAUUUUACUAUGCUCUGACAGUUGACAAUGGUGAUGAGCCAAUUUUCUCUUGGUCCAAAUGGGCAUUUCAGCCAUAUGUCUUUCAGUGGAUUGCAAAAUUGCGGAUUCUUGUAGUCUAAGGGCUUCCCUAUUGGACUCUGGGCUUAACUGGGAGACAGAUCCAAGCAGCCAGCCACCAAUUUUAGCUCCACUUGUUGCUCUGCUGGUAAUGGCACAGACAGCCAUUUAAGAAGUGAUGCUCAAGUUACAGGUUAUGUGGAGAAUCUGUCACUAAGCACAGGGAUGACUAAAGCUCCGUAAAGGAAGCAGCAUCAGGAUAAUGGGAGCUUGCAUACUGGCCUACACUGCCGUGCUACAUAAUGAGGAAAGCCAGUCUGUACCACAGAGUGAAACCCAAUUCAAAUAUGCAAAACAAACACAACACUUACCAAAUCACAACAAAAAUGACUGUGCUGUAUGCAUUUACAGUUAUGUAAAUUUACUGAAACAGAAGUAAGGCAACACAAACUCAUUUUCCUUCCUGCCUGUUCCACUGCCAGUCACAAUCCCCAGGCCUGCUGGAUCCAAGUGAGAGUGUGUUCUAUAAUGACUGCUACUGAACAUCCCUCCCAAGUUGACAUCUGGGAACAGCAUUUUGGCUGCUAGAAAUCUGCCACAUUGGAAAUAUUUAUACUAUGGGAAUUUGUGUAAUUUCAGAUUACACUGGAGUGUAUCUUGCUUCUAAAUCAAACCCCACACAAUAAAAUUCUGUGGAGCUAACGGGUAAUAUUUGAAAACACAAUACUGACUUUACUUUCCAUCCUUCAGAGAUCACUCUUGAUGGACACUGAAAGAACAAAACAACUUCCUUGUUCCUAGGUUGUGGGUUAAAUUUGAAUAAUUCUAGACAAUUAGAGUGAGCACACAAUAUAGAAACUGAGAGAUGGUGUGUGUGAUGCUGCGAUUCCCAAUGCUCUUAGUUAGAGAAUCCUCUUUGUAUGUAUGAAAGCACUUCACAUAUGUAAACACAUAUGCAUAUGCUUCCAUUGGGGGUUACUUUGAGGGACUGUACUGUGUGAAAUAUGACCCAAGUUGACAAGUUCACAAUCUGUAGGAUAGCAUCAUGAAGAGUGAGGCAACAGCUCAGGCUGUAAUUUGGAGGGAUUUUUUUUUAUGACACCUCAGUUCUCAGGAUUGGUUAAGACUCUUACAUUAUGAAUCAUGGUAUUCUUCCUAAAACCAGCUGCUUAAAGAUGUUAAUUGUGUCCUCAGAAUGCCUUAUGUCACCUCCUAGCUCCUCAUUUGAAUUCCCAAGUGCCACAGCCCAGAACAAAGACAUAACCCUUCCAGUAUCUCAAUGAUCUCUCCAUGCCAUCCUAGGGCUGAGAAACAUGAAACAUUUUAUUUCUUUUCCAGUCCAAGUACAGUGUGAACACUUUUCAGUGAACAUAGCAGCCAGGAAAAUCACAGUACAUUGUGAAAUGUUUUUAUUGAAUGACUCCUUGUCACUAGUUAGCAGUAAAACACUCGCACACAGAAGCUUCAGAGUCUAGAAUGCAGCUGGAUUCUUCUGUGUUCCUUCAUGCUCCCUUCUGAUUUCUUCUUGCUAUUCCUGAACUAAAUUGUAAGGGAAACACUGGUGUGCAAGGAUGUAAAGCUGUUGAAAGGAUGUAAUAUAUCUGAAUCAGAAAAUACAAUCUGCCUCCAACAAGUACUCUUUUGCUCUUUCCUACAGAUGUCAUAUCCCCUUGUAAAUUUAAAUUGUCAUUGCACCAUUGCGGGUUUGCUACUGUGCUCCUGUAGCCUUGCCAUUCGUUAAUAUCCAGCUCUUGUGCCUGAUACAAGGGCAACAGGGAGUGGGGAGGCUUCAUUGAACAGCAAUUUUACUAGAAAUGUAAAAAUUCCAUAGAGCCUACAUAAGAUGUCAUAGCAGGAAGGAUGUCUGUCCUCUGUCCUGCUGACUCUAAUUACUGCUCAUUCCAUAUGUCUUAUUCUUGUCCACUCUGAGCAGAAUUUCUUCUUUUGUCAUCGGUGGCCUGAUACCUUAAGAGUCUGACACAGGAAAAUCAGCAUAAGGAGGAGAAAAUGGGUGUAGAGCAAUUUGUCUGUAUCAUCCAGGGCAGUAUGUUGGGAAUUCUCUCUGUGCAAUUUGGGGAUUCAAAUUAAACAAUUAACUUUUAAUUCCAUUUUAUGAAGGGUAUUUUAUUUGUAAAUUUCCUAGUCAAAGUAUUAGAAACACAUGAAGCAGCAUUUAAAUCUCUUACCAAGAAUCACACACCAAAGGAUGUCAGCCAUUAUCAGAUGUGAUUUAAAUAAGACCCCCAAAAGCAGAAUAUUUGUUUAGUUUUCUCAGACUAGUUUGAAUAUUUGUUAUUAUGUUGAUUAAUAUUCUUAAACAAUCAAUGACUUUAAAUCUACAGAAGGAACAUUUAUAUUAGAAAAAAAUUGUAGAAAGGACUCAUGCAACUGUUUGGUAAAUUUAAAUUUAUGGAAGUAAAGUGGAACCAAUCAUUUUUAAAGACGCCAACUUCUGCUUGUAUACAUCUGGUUGUUGUAUAUACAAAUUUAGAAGACUAUUAUCACUCCAGUAUGUUAACUCCAAAGCAAAGUAUCUCCUAUAUGAGAAGCUACGCCUUAACCUUGUCUAGAGUAUCUUGCAUCCCUUCAUCUUUGUGAUGACAGAGUCUGAACAUGGCCCAAUCCAAAGUAAAUACUACCCUUCUGCCAGACCUCACUUGGAGGUUUAAGAAGCAUUGUACUUUGUAACAUCUCACAUCUUUAAAUAAUUGAUCUUCUCAUCUCUUGCCUGCCACCUCGAAAGGACCUGGAUAGUAAUCUUUCUCAGGGUUCUUGGUGCCUAGGGAAUCUGAAAAUGUGGUGGCCUGGAGCCUGAGACAUCAGUCCUCCCUGGCAUAUCACUUCUGUUGCUUGUUAAGGAUUCACACUCUGAGGUCCCCUGGUUGUCACCUGUGAGUUCAGUGAGUUUGUGGGAGCAGAACAGCAGGGGCUGGCUCACUUGACUAAUGAGGUCCUGCUGUCUGCUGCUCUUAACCACCCUGCCAGUCACCAAGUCUAAUUUUGACUGUUUUUAAACCGAGGGCCAUGUUUGGAGGCUGUGGGAUUUGCCAGGAUCAAAUUUCUGCUGUCACCACAGCCUCCUGGCAUGGAAAUGAGCAUCUGGGCUGGCUUUGGGGAAGAGAUAUUGUAAAAAUUGGCAUAAUUGAAGGGGACACACAUAGGAGGAACAGCCUGAUCUUUUAAGGACAAUUUAAGG